GUCUCAAAGGGUACCUCACCGGCAGUUCGGCUUCCUGUGAGAAGAUUUCCAUCUUGGCGUCGUGGGGCGGUAGUGUCGCCAUAUUGAGAAGGGCAAAAGGAGGGAUGCCAUUAUGCGAGGGUCAGUCGCCUCCAGAACACUCUGGAGGGAAGCCGUUGAUGAAUGAUUUAAGCGUCCUUUUCGUUCACAACCUAAGUCUGGAGGCGGCUUUAGCAUCCACCCAAAGAUACUUUUUCUACGUUUUUUAGGAAAUUUUGGGAAAUUUGAGGAGGGAAAAAACCCGAGAUUUGGUUUCAGGGAAGACACUGUAUCGCUGCUAACACAUGCAAGACACAUUUUGUUGUUGUUGUUUAGUCGUUUAGUCGUGUCCGACUCUUCGUGACCCCAUGGACCAGAGCACGCCAGGCACUCCUGUCUUCCACUGUCAAACUCAUGCUGGUAGCUUAGAGAACACUAUCCAACCAUCUCGUCCUCUGUCGUCCCCUUCUCCUUGUGCCCUCAAUCUUCCCCAACAUCAGGGUCUUUUCCAGGGAGUCUUCUCUUCUCAUGAGGUGGCCAAAGUAUUGGAGCCUCAGCUUCAGGAUCUGCCCUUCCAGUGAGCACUCAGGGCUGAUUUCCUUCAGAAUGGAUAGGUUUGAUCUUCUUGCAGUCCAUGGGACUCUCAAGAGUCUCCUCCAGCACCAUAAUUCAAAAGCAUCAAUUCUUCGGCGAUCAGCCUUCUAUAUGGUCCAGCUCUCACUUCCAUACAUCACUAUUUGGAAUACCAUAGUGUAGCCUUAUGAGGCUUUGCCCUUGGGUGGGAAAAAUAUUGCGUCCGGGAAAGGGAAGUGGGAGUCAACAGGCACUCAAGGAAUAGUUUCGGAGAAAAAGCUUUAUUUCUACCAUCCAUGAACUGGUAGAAGGAGCAAGUGUGAUAACUCACAAAAAGCAUGCACGAGUUCACAGUCAUGUGCACAAACAUAUAUACCCCUUCCAGUUCCCUCCCCCUUUCUCCUCCUUCCAGAGUCCUGCCCAUGAGUUCCUCUGAGCAUGAACAGAAAGCUGUCUUGGGACUAUUGGACUCUUGGCACCCUUCCCAGGAACGGGGGGUGAGAGCCAAGGGGUCUUCAGCAUGUUCAGAUGUGUUGCAACUAGAGUGAGAUAAGAUUCGUUUCUCAGGCCUGCUUUGAACAGAGCCUAUUCAUUAGCUUUUUGAAGCCUUCUUGUACUGAUAAAAAGCCUUGCAACAGCAGAGCAAAUGAGCAGAUGCUUAGCUGCUGAGAAAAUGAUUUUGAAAAGCUUUGAGAAGCUUUGAGCCUGCUUUAGGGGGGGUGACUUCGGGCCUAGAUGGGGUCACCUGUCCUUCAUUCUUUAUGGUCCAGCUCUCACUUCCAUACAUCACUAUUUGGAAUACCAUAGCUUUAACUAUAGGGACCUUUGUUGGCAAGGUGAUGUCUCUGCUUUUUAUGAUGCUGCCUAGGUUUGUCAUUGCUUUUCUCCCAAGAAGCAGGCGUCUUUUAAUUUCGUGACUGCUGUCACCAUCUGCAGUGAUCAUGGAGCCCAAGAAGGUCAAAUCUCUCACUGCCUCCAUUUCUUCCCCCUCUGUUUGCCAGGAGGUGAUGGGACAAGUGGCCGUGAUCUUAGUUUUUUUGAUGUUGAGCUUCAGACCAUAUUUUGCGCUCUCCUCUUUCACCCUCAUUAAAAGAUUCUUUAAUUCCUCCUCGCUUUCUGCCAUCUAGGUAGUGUCAUCUGCAUAUCUGCAUAUUUGAGGUUGUUGAUAUUUCUUCCGGCAAUCACAUGCUCCAAAUGGAGGGCUUCCUCGGUUAUUUGAAAUUACGCACACGCAUGCACACAAACACACAUUUUCCACAAUUGAAGGAAACAUUUGCAACAUUAAAGAUUUCUAUCUGUCCAGUGCUGCAUUCACUCUGGAGUCAUCUGUUGGGGGAGCCACAUGUUUAUUUCCAGAGAGAGAAAACUAGGCAGCACAAAACAAUUUAAAACAAGAGCUUAAACCGCAACCAGCAACAACUUUUUUAUAUCUACAAUAGUCAUCCACUCCAACUCCAAAGUAUUAAGGGAAGGGCUGUGGCUCAGUGGCAGAGCCUCUGCUUUGCAUGCAGACGGUGUCCUACCUAAGGCUCAAUCCACAGCAGCAUCUGCAGGUACUACAGGGAGAGAAACUCUGAAACUUUGGAGAGCUGAUGCUGCCAGUCAGCAUAGUUAAUUCUGGGCUGGAUAGACCAAGACUAUAUGGGGUCAUUUCUUAUGCUCCUACUGUUAAGAGGGAAUUGAGUGGUGGGCCUUUGUCUCAGCCCACUUCUUCCAGAGCUAUUAUUAAUAUGGGCCACCUUGAGACCAUGGCAGUAGAGCACAACACUUUGGUUUGAGGCAAAUCACUCCGAACAGCAGAGUAGUUUAGAAGCACAUAAAAUAAUCCACUGUGUCCUCUGGCAACCAUGAGUUGGCAGCUGCAAUUCAUUCAGGUUCUUAUACUUAUUUAAACCACUCCUGAAGAACUUUGCUUUACAAGGUGCUGUGCAAAUAGCAUACAGAUUAACCAAUACUGAGACUGAGGUGGCAACUUGCCCAAGGUCACCCAGAGGUGAGACUUAUUCCCCAGGUCCAAGACCAGCUCUCUAUUGGCCCACACUGGCUGCUGUCUCUUGUCUUUGUUUGGAAUUUUUCACUGUUGCUGAGGAAAGUAGAUGUUAUAGAACCACUUAAUUGGUCAUAAUUUUUGCAGAAAAUACCAGCGUGUUUUCUGGCUCAGUGAUUCAGAAUGUGUGUUAAUUAAUCCCUUGUAAGGCAUGAUCUUGAUUUAUAGGGAUGGCUUCAGAUAAGAGAAGAUACUCAGAUACAUUCAUUUGGUUCAUUCACAAAUAUAUUACAGGUCUCUGUUGCUGUUCUUUUGAAGCUCCCCUCACCCCCGCCUUGAAUGGCACCUCAUAAGAAAGAUUAGCUUUUAUGCUUUAUCCUCCUUGAAUACUCUUGAGUGACAUCGCCCACUGCAAAAGCCCACAGAGAAGUGACUAACUUCUUUCAAUGUGUUCUGAAUUCAACCUCCUUCUGAUGAAGGAGAAAACACAUGCCAGUCCCAAGUAGUCUCUCCAGAAAGCGCUCUAUUGCCUCUACCUUCUCUUUGAUAAUGAGAAAGAUCUCAGGUGCCUCUUCUCAUCUCACCUGCUGCAUUGUGGCAUGGGAAGAGAAGUGGCUUCUUAAGUAAGGAGAUCCAAGGCUUUUUAGAAAUUGCAGGUAAAACUCAGUACUCUGAGCAUUUGUACCUGGGGACCUGGAAGACACCAGCGUAGAUCACAGGACACAAAUAGGAGCAAGAGCCUUGAGCUGAGAUGUGAUUUGUAAUGAAAAGUGUGCUGCAGAUGUUGGCAGCUGCUUUGGCUUAUUAAUGGGAAAGGGUGGUACCUCAGUGGAUAGAGCAUCUGCUUUGCAUGUAGAAGGUCUUCAGUUCAGUCCCUGGCAUCUCCAGGUGGGAGAAGGAAUGUUCCCUGUCUGAAACCUUGGAAAGAUGUUACCACUCAGUACCACUCAGUUAGCACUCAGUACCACUGUACUGAGUUAGAAGAUGGGCCUCUGUUAUAAGGCAUCUUCCUAUGUUCCUACGUAAUGUGCAGAUGUAGUUGAAAGAAGAACAACUAUCAUGGUCUUGAAGUGAUGGGCACAUGAGUGGCUGUUCUCAAAAUCUGUUUGUGGCCUUCUCACAACAAACACCAUUGGUGGGCCAUGGUAAUUUAUGACCAAACAUUUCUUUGUUCCAUGACUGAAUGCUGAGUAUUUGAUAGGAAACCUUCUUGGGAACCUUCUGAAUCAAAGGAAAGAAAGAAUAACUAAGUUACACACCACCCACUCUCACAGUAUAGGCUGUUACACACCACCCACUCUCAGUUGGCAAGCUUGAAAGUUUGUGUUGCACUGCUUGCUUUCUGAGGAUUGUAUGUGCUGCCCAAAGUACUUUGCUAUAUCUUCUUACCCAUAUCUUGCUAUGCCACAGUCCUCUUCCUGUCCUGGUCUUGCAGCUCUGCACUGAGUGACAUAAUUGCGCCUCUUAACAGAUGCUGUUUCUUACAUCCCAGCUUCUACUAGUAAGAGCCAAAGAAGAGGAAAUGGGAGACUGCUUGCAGAAAUCCCGGCCCCUCAGACCCUUAAAAAAAAAAAAGUUUCUUAAAGCAGCACUGCAAGAUUUCAUACAGAUUUAUCUACAAUGAAGAAAGUCCUUUGGCCAGUAGUUCAACCCCGACAAGGCACUGCAACAGGAAUUCGCAAUAUGAGGUCUUAUAUGGAUCAAUUUUAGUCUCUUAAGGGAAGGAGUUGACCUUUUAUGAUUUGGAUUUCUGGUCAGAGAUUAUUCCUCAUAAGAGACAGAAAAAACUUGCUACCUGAUGAGACCUGAGGUUAUCACUACAGGGUCCUUGCUCAAGCGCUGUUGGACAGAGGGAGGUUGAAGAAAAUUCCCAGAGCACUUAAUUUAUUUUCUUUCUUUUUUUUAGUUUUCAGUAUUUUUUACAGAGUGAAGUUCAACCAUGUAUUUUUUUUCUGAUCCUCACUGCCAUUGGGUAAAAUACGUUUUCUUUGGUGUUUCAGAGACACAUGGAUGAUUCUGGAGUGUGGCUAGCUUGUCAGCUCCACCACUCCUGUUGCUGUAUGGCCGACAGAGGGGAUUCCUGUGACCCAGAUGGGAGCUCAGGCAACCAGUAAUUGACCUUCUAUGCUACAGCUGGAACAUCAGGGUUCAAAGUAAUGAAGGAUUCCUCAGGGUUGCUGGCAGUGCUGGUGUUCUGGUGUGUGUGUGUGUGUGUGUUGCGAUCCUGCUUCCCCUGUUCCUCCACCUCUAAGGAGACUCUGGUUCAUAGUCUGGGUGUAGCUGGACCCUGACAAAUACCUGGCUUUUCUGGUUAAAAAAAUCCCAUAGCAGCAGAUGGGAAAGGCCUCUGCCAACUUCCUAGAGAGCCACUAUAAGUCAGAGAAGAAAAUAUUGGGCUAGAUAGUCCAGUGGACUGACCUGGGAUACGGCAACUUCCCAUGACAUUCUUAAUUUGCUUAGUUUGCCUGCUUGGAUGGAAGUGAAGGGAAAGGCUGCAGGAGGGAGCAUGAUGUCUGAAUAGGACCUUGUCACAGUUGUGCCUAUGGAACACUUCUCAAGAGGGGCCUACCUGGAGCCUGCUUUGCUCUCAUUUCAGCACCAGGCUAAAACCUAUUUUACCCCCCCCCCCCCGUAAUUUCAGUAUGAAUUAUGGAUUUUAGACUGGUUUGCCAUUGCUGUUUUAUUUUUGUAAGUUUUAUUUGCCAAACGGAUUUUACUAUUCUAACAUUGCUUUUAUGGUGCUGUGUAAGCUGCCCUUGGACACUUUUUGCAGGACGGGAUACAAACCCUGAUUUCCCCCCCAGGAAAGAUCCACGAGCAGAAUACUAUAUUUCUGUCAGUGACGGCUCCUGAACCUUUCUCUUUAAAAGUUUGAAUGGCUUUAAUUUUGUUUACUGUGUGUUUUUGCCAUAUUGAUUCCAAAACGGCUGCUAUGGAAGAAGACGUUAUGAUGCAAAGCACUUCUGUUGUUUAUUUACUUUAUCUUAUUCUAUAUCGUUUGUUACAUUUAUCAGUCACCGCAUUGCAAUGAGCCUCUAGGUGAUGUAUAACCCUGAUACAAAGAGUUUAAAAAAGCACAUAAUAAUCCAAGCCAUACAUUGUGAUAUACAAGCCUAGCAACUAAAUAAGUAAGCAUUAACACUGGCACAAUCCAAUAAAAACUAAAAGACCCCCACACACUAAAACUGAAUGAUCGCUGUCAAGUGAGCAGAGACUAAAAUCAGAUGAUGUUAAGGCAGCGUUAAAAUGCAAAAAGGUCCGACUUCGAUCCCUGGCAGCAUCUCCAGGUACCUGGUGAUGGGAAAAGCCUCUCUCUGCCCAAGACCCUGGAGAGCUGCUGCCAGUCAGAGAAGUCAAUACUGGGCUAGACGGGUGAAUGGUCUGACCUAGAAGAACGCAGCUUCCUCUGUUCAUAAGCUGGAAGAGCCCCCUAAAUAGCCCUGUGUGGCCUGUGCUGAAUCAGUUUGAAGUUAUUGUUGUAUAGUAAGGGCAGGGACCUCUUGUGGCACUUCUAGACCUUACAUCACACAAUUUCCUAAAACACAGUACAGUAUUCUAUUUUCCUUCUGGGUGGAGUCUUUUCUUCUUUCCAGCAGGGGGAGACAUCUGACCAUAUAACAGAACUGAUAAUGCUGCCUUUGGAAGCUUCUUUUAUCAAUAUACAUAUAAAACUCAAUGCUCAAAUUAACUAGUUCAAUAAGUAAUUUAGCUCAUUGAUUUUUGGGCAUAUCCUAAGUGCCAUUACAAGCUACGGAUAUUUUAAAUGCCAUUACCUAAUAGAAGGAAUGUUUUAAGCACCUUCUAUUGAUUUUAUUACUGCUUUAUUUUGCUGUCUUGGUUUAAAAUCAUUUUAACCACUCGGUAAUCAAGAAGAAAUAUAUCGUUGGUGAAAUACAGUCAAUUUCCUAAAAACCUUUGACAUCGUUAAAUAAGGAAUUACAGUUGUUAAAUCAUGUCAGGCAAUAACCAAGGGACAGAAAAGAUAUACAAUUCGGAGCAGCGGGCCAGCAAUACCAGUAAGCUGUUCUGACCUUUGCCAUCCAGACUCUAUGUAUGUGACAAUCACACACCCGGCUUCUCUUCUUGGCUCUUACAUCAGCGUUUUUGGCAAGAAGUGUGGCUGGGAACAUUCAUCAAACUAAUCGGCAUGUUAAUCGAUUAAUUCAUUAAUCGCAGAUUUAGAAUGUGGAUUUUAAAUCAGAGGAAUCGAUGCUGGCUGCAGCUGGAGGGUGUUCACUGCUGAUGCUAUUAAUUAUCAUUUCUUAUAUUUGGGAUGAUUUUUUUGAACAGAAUAUUUCCAUCUGUCUUUGUUAAUUACGUGGGAGGAACUGUUAUCUUCAAUACAUACCCUUAACUUGUUACCUUUAUACAGGCAGCCAGGCUGUUUGCUUUAACUGGAUAAUUAAACACUAGUCUGUUAAACAGGAUGACAGUUAAUUUGACUAAAAAUAGUUAAUCAGUGGAUAGUCUUAGUAAGAAAGUAUUUAAAAGCUAGGCAGGUUACUGAGUGCUAACCAAGUAUGACCAAGGGAGAGGUAGUCAGUGUUUUCAUUACCUCCUGCACCGUGUUGUUGAAAUCACUCUCUAGCUUAGCAAACAGGCAGUUGCGUUUGCUUGCUGAUAUUGCUCAUAAGGUUGCAUGGUGACAUUAUGCCCCAAAGAUGUAAACAGAGCAUGCUCCUCCGAGGAAUUUGAUCCUCCAUGCCUUUGAGACGAACAGAUUAACAGGACCACUGAGCUAAUCACUUGGCAGAUGCAAACUGCAAAUACAGUCUAUAUGUUGCCUAAUCAAAGAAUUGCAGAAGUAUGUAGUGAGCUUUGAAGCUCAAUAAAAGCCAGCUAAUGAGAUGAUUAAAUUGACAUUUGAUGUGAUUUAACUAUAGAGCAGCAAACAUCAAUACCUAUAUGAUUUGGCAAGUGAUUCUCAAAUUAUGAUGUGAGCUUUUCAAGGGUUUCCACCAUUGGAGAACACCUAGCUGUAAACCAGCAUGGGGCGGGGUGUGGUGUAGAUUUUGUAAAGUCAAGUGCUUUAAUCAUCAGUAGCUUUCUAUUCUCUUCUGCUGCCUAAACAAACAUUUCAUUUAAGGGAACUGAAUGAUUAGGCCCAGGUUUGUGCAUGAAUGAGCUCUGAAAUCAGUGGACCAAAACAGAACUCCUUGGUUCUUAGAAGCUAUCAAAAGGGAAACUGGUUUUCCUAAGUCCAGGGAUUGCCCUGUGUUUGGGAUGGCUUCCUUUCAGAGCAAGUUUUCUGCACGUGCAAAAUCUCACCGGAUUCCACAGCGUAGAAGAAGAAAAGCAAAUCCAAAGCACUGUGUGCCAGCCAUGCUCACAAGUUGUUCCUGGGUGCUGCCUUUUGUUAGCAAGAUGCAAACCUGACAGCACAGCAUUUGUCCCAUACAUGCUUGAGUUUAGUCCUGUGUGUGCUCAUGGUCCCAGCAAAACUGCUGCGGAAGUUUGAGCCUGCAUCUUCCCUGGUGUCUCCCAGUUUAAAUGUGUAUCCCAAACUGAUCUCCAUACCAGGUGGGGGAACCUUUGCCCCCCCCCAUGUUGCUGAACUUUAACUCAUAAUCUCUGGCCAUUGGCCAUGCUUGCUGAGGCUGAUGGGAGUUGUAGUUCAGCAACAUCUGGAGAGGGCCACAGAUUCCACACAUCACCACAUGGUGUUCUUGCAUGCAUUACCACUACUUGUUAUGUAAUAUGGGCUAUUGGGGGCGGGGAAAGAUUGGAAGAGAGUUCUAGCCAUAUUAAGUUACUGUUAUACCUACAAUUGCUUUUCUUCUUAUAAUUUCAGAUUACCAUGCUUAAUGCACAUGAGCUGACGCAUGGAGAUACAUUUGGGGUAAUGCUGUGUGUAGUUAUGCAUGUCGUAUUAUCACAUGGCUAGAUGUGGUCUGUCAUCCCCUACUCAGCACAUCUGGUACAGUAGAUUUACAUGCAGAAAUUCCAUUUCCACAUGGAGAUUGCAUUCACUGAACUGGGGCAAAUCACUUUAGAAUGGAGGUCCAUUUGUGUUGCCCAGGAUGAGGCUGUCACCGUAGGAAAAGAUAGGUGUCUAGUAUAAAUUCAGGAUAUGGAUUAUCCUAUCAUGGCAGCUGCCUUCUGUGGUAUCUCCUUUCUAUAGAUUAGAAUAAUUUUGUUGUUCCAUGCAGGAGGUGAGCUGGCAGUCAGUGUCACUCUCUCUGACCAGUAUUUGGAAUCAUCACUUUUAAUAGAAACCCAACCAUCACUUGCUUUGUUUAAAAAAGAUACCAAACAUAAUUACCCAGUAAUUAGAAUCCUGGUCCUUUCCACUGCAUUGCUGGAAAUUGGGUUUCCAACAUCGCUCUCCUCCUUCCCCUCUGCAUUCCCAGCCCCAAAGCUUAGAAAUACCAGAGCCAACGCCUGUAAGACAGAGGCAUUAUGCUCUGGUCAGAAAGACAAGUUAAAAUGGCUAUUUGCUUAUUUUAUUUGACUCAAUUCAUAUACUGUGGGAUUGUAGUAAAACCUCUUAAGCGGUUUAUAAGAAAUAUUAAAAUCAUCAAUAAAAACAGUUAAAAACAAUUAAAGAUAAUUAAAACCAGCAGUAAAAGAAACCGAAACACAACAUGUCUGGAUUGGCUUCAUCAUCUCAUCCUCCUAACACAUACUCCCUUUUCUGUAUGAGAAAGGAAACACAAUAAAAAAAAACCCAACCAGGUUUCACUUGCAAUAAUUUUUCCAUAUCUUGAGGACUAGCAAAUUCUUUACUAUGAGGCUUUAUUUGUACAAAGCAUAGCAAAACUUCAAAACCACUCAAAAGCUUUCUUAUUAACUGCUGUCAGUCCUGUGAUUUACAAGGGCAAUAAAGAUCUGGAGGGGGCACAUUUAUCAUGGACUUCAGCGCACCAGGAGCCAUUUUCUCAAGCGGUAAAGCCAAGUGAUAAAAUGAGUUCUUUUGUUCCAUAACCUUCUUAAAAUGUGUGUGUUGGUCUUUCUGGCUUGUAGCUUGGCUCUGCUCCUCUAGCCCUCCAUCUCCCUGCGAUGAUGAAUUGCUCAGACACAGAUGCUGAUGAUGCUUCUAGAACAGCAGAUUCUCUGAGUGAUACAAAUUUACUUUCCGCUUUCUAUUAGUUGCCAGCAUUAUUUAUUCCUCUACUCCUAAUUUUUAUUUUAUUUGCAUGACACUUUUGAAAUUGGGUAGGAGAAACUAUCAUAUACCCUUCCUUCUUAGGAAAACUCAGAUAAUUCUGAUUUAGGAUAAUAUAAAAUCCUCAUGUUUAUACCAAGAAACCAUUCUCCUGAUUUGUGGUGUGCAUGUUGGGAAGCAAAGUCCCAUUGUUCUGCAUUUGACAUACUCUCAUAGGCAGAUAAUAACUUUUGUGUCUAUCCUCCGUUCCUUGGCAGGAGAAAGAGAGAGAGAGAGAGAGAGAGAGAGAGAAAGUUAAUUUGUUGCAAAAAAUAGACAGCCCAGUUGGGGCUUGCUUUGUACAUGAAAGAACAAUACCAGUGCAACUGUUCAUUGAUUAACAUAAUUGAGCCAUAGGUAAAUAGUCAAGGCUUAAGCUAAUCAGAAAAUAAAAUAAGCCUUUAAAAAUGUACCUAGGCUUAUUUGCAACAAAACUGAAUUACACUAUGACUGUUGGAAGAAAGAAAACAAUGAGUACUGUUCAACUUUGUCUUCAUGUUAGUCAUUCUAGUACAUCACAAAGAUUGUCUAGUUUUCUGCAAAUGUAUUUCCUAAAAUAAUUUCCUUCUUCAGGACAUUUUUUGAAAUGCACUUGACUUGGCCUAGCUUUGUCAAAAAGAACAAUUUACAUGUCUUACAAAAAUGGGAGAAGUAAAAUUUCAAGGCAAAUGACUUCUAGAUUAGAUGAUGUGCGACUUGAUUUACACAAGUUAACUAGCAUCAUGUUUGUGAGGUUUGUGUUUUUAAAAUGGGGGCUGGGGAAAUGACAGAGUACAAUGGUCCAGUUAGCAAAGUGGGUUGGCUUGCUCACAGCAUGAGGAUGAAUUGGAUGGAAGAACAAUCAGCUUGGAAAUGUCUUCCAAUUUGCUUUUAAGGCUCAGGGCAGGUGGGUGAUUUUGACCAUACUUUCCAACCUUUUCAAGCUGGGAUCAGGGACACGGGCACCUCCGAGAAACGAUGUAGAGAAGGACCAGCGGCGGUGGCGUGCCUCUUCUCCUCUGGGCUCCGGUACACUGCAUGUUCACUCCUGGCUCAGGUCUGCACCAGGGGCAGAAGCAGUGCAGAGAAGGCGUGGUAGCGUUAGCCCUGCGCCGCAUCUCUCCUCCUUUGAGCUCUGGUAUGAAAGGGAGGAAAAGGGUCACUGUUGAGCAGCUGCCACUGCCAGAGAGCACCCAGAGCCUUUUCACCUCCUGCUACUACUCACGCCCCGACUGCUGAGUCUCAUUCCUUUCCACAUGCUCAGGCUGCCUUCCUGCUGGGCUCAUGGUCCCCCAGGGCCACACACACUGUGCACUCUGGCGAGGCUGGGCAAGGCAAAAUGGAGGGCUGUCCUCCCUUCCUUGCUACGCCAUCAUGCUCUGCCAUCACAUCAAUGUUGUUGCGCUCCCUGCCAGGUGCUCUGAUUGGUAGAGAGCCAGAUUUCUCCCUGCAGCCACCACAGCCAUUUUCUUUCCCUGCUUAAUUUAUUAAGAGACUGAGAAGGGGAAAGUUGUUCUCCUGUGCAGUGGCCACCCAAGGAAGGACGUGUGGAUCCUGGGACAUUCUGGGAUCCAAUCAGAGACUGGGAUGCCUGCUUUAAAUCCGUGAUGUCCCACUCGAAACAUGACAGUUGCAUGGUAUGUUUGCCACAAUCCAGCAUGAUCUAUUCCCUAUGACUCCAAGAUCUUGUUCGUAGUUCCUCAUCGCUUAAUUCAGACCCUAUAAGUGUAUAUAGGAAAUUAAUAUUUCUUUUGGUGGGUUGUGUUGUGAUGCUUGCAUUGGUUGCCUUCCUCUGACCCGAGGAGGAUACACUGGAUGAUUAUCAUUGCACUGAACAGCAGUUGAAACGUUUGGUAAGAUAUAGGGGCUGUUUUAGAAAGAAAUUGGUGCUACAUAGGGAACCUCAGACAAUUUUCUCUGGCGGCAACUUGCUGCUAAAGCCAGUUGGGAUGCUUUGGGGAAAGUAGUUAGAGGACUGUCGUUUGCUAGAGAUGGCUGAACCAUCACUCACGAUUUCCCCCAAAGGAGGCAGCUGUAGUGCUAGCCUUAGGCACACCUCUUAACCAGCUCUUAACCAGCAUAUGGAAGAUGUUGGCCUUCGCUAGUCCAUCAUGGGUAUAUCAGCCAUGGCAGAGAGAUUUUUUUCAGACCUGUUUGCUGUAAUUUUAUGGCCAUACUUAAAAUAUGAGUAGGAAAGAUUUUUACCAGCCGACCAGCCUCUUUUUAUAUAGCUGCAAAGGGAAUUGUGUGUUAUUUCUGAUACUUAUCGUAUUGUUAAAUCUUUUGUCUCUGAUAUUUUAAGUUGGAAAUUAUAAGUGUUCUUUGUACUCUAGGGCCUCUUUUAUACUGCAACUUCUUUAAAGUUUUUAAAGAUCUAAAAAAAACAAAAAAACCCUUUACUUUAUGAAGCAGUUUGGGGGUCAGUUUUUAUAAAAAUGUGUGCUUUUAUGUUGGAUCGUUUAAAGACCAUCUGUUAACUGAAGCCAACCAUAAGUGAAGUUGCAGUUAUGUUUCCUAUUAGUCUUGUAUCUUUCCUAUUAGUCAUGUAUGAGAGAAUACAGAGGUAGCCAACAGAACUCCAAACAAGAAUUGAGAAAGCAGAUGGUUGCCAUCAUUUUACCUUGUUUUCUUUUACAAGAAUGAAAAAUUAUUAAUAGAACAGAAAACACUGUGCCCAGCUACUUUUGCUAACCACAGCUGAAAAAUCACACCAAAUAUGCAUUUCUGAGCUUUUAUUUUAUAAUGCAAUUGAAAAUUUGAACUGUUUAGCUUAAGAGACAUUAAGAAGAGGAGAGGAGAGAAAGCAAAAUGAAACUCAUGACUGAAAGCAUAGAAUGAAAGACAAAAUGUACUGUUUGAAAUAGGUGUGUACUUUCUGGUCAGUGAAGGCUCAUUUAUUAUAUUGUCACAGUGAACUGUGAUUUUUUAUUUUUUUUAAGAGGAGGAGGGUGAAAUUUUUCCUAGGUAGUUCUCUGGCUUACUGGCAGCUGCCUUUUCAAAAGUUGUCUGUUGACUUAAAUAAAGAUCCUUGAGAAGACAAAUCACAAAUUGUUUUUCAACUAAAUUCAGCUACAAGCUUCCAGGCAUGCCCACGUCAUACCUGGCCACAGGACUGCCGCUCUCAUAUGCCGCUGAGGGAAUAACACUCACUUCUGCUUCACAAUUCCUGGGCAAUUUCAGACAGUUGCUAAGAAUAGGAAAGGAAGAUUUAAAUUGACCAGAGAAAUAAAUUAUGACGUUUUUAUACCUGAUUAUAUAGGAAAGUGUGUGUUUGUGGUAGGAAUUAGCACAUAGUAGAUAUGCAGAUCCAAGGCUCGUAUUUCAUUUGAAAUGUAUUUAUACAUUCCUAUCCUCAUGUUAACCCUAUGACAAUUUUUAAUUGGAAUAUCAAACUAUAGUAAAAUGUACAGGCAAUGUCUGAUUUCACCCCAGUCCUCCACAGUGUGGGUAAUAAUCUUUCUGAAGCUCAUUAAUUCCAUUUUCAGAGGGGUCAAUGAGACUGAGGGUGUUUUCACACAUGAAUUUUUUAAUCACUUCUGGCUUUAGUGAGAGUUCUAGUGCAAAUUGCCCCCCGCCCCAUGCAUGCAUUGUCCAGAAUGCCCAUUCCCCAUUACAAAUGCCUCGCCCCUGCAUUGACCCCGAUCACCUAAAUAAUCCUCUUCAGAGCCUCAUGUAUCCACUUGUAACUGGCUUGAAUGCCGCACAGUAAAGCUGUAGCCAAGCAAGAAUUUGCACAUACCGGUAAGUGUCCCUGAGGUCCUAGGUAGCAUGAAUAAUGGGUGGUACCAGUGACUCCGUUUCCUAGAGUGAGCCCCAAGUCCUCUUUGUCCCCUCAUCAUCUAAUUGCCCAUUGUCAAUAAUUUUGCCUGCCGUGAACAUGUGGGAUGUGGGAGCCAAUUUUGGUGUUGGAUUUAUGUGCAGAAAAGUAAAAAGAGGACCCAGUAAGAAGGAGGAAGGAGAGAGCCUGGGCUGGCCAAAGCGGAAUACUACUUUGCCAUUGUUUGGUUGCUGGUUUCCUCCCUACGAAUAUCAAACCUUGAUCUGCCCUUUCCACUCCUUCAUGCACAAAUAUUUGCCAUGUUUGCUGAUAUAGAAAUGCAUAUGGAUUCUCUUUGAGAUUUCUUCUUCAGUUUGUGGAGAAAUUUCCUCCUCAUCUGUUUUCAGACUUUGAUGCUAUUCCGUUUAGUUUCCUCUUGCUCUUAUUGGAUUUUAGAAAAGGUUAAUUAGCUAUCCACCAAGCUUGGUGGAAGAAGAUUUUAAUAUUAGGCAAUGUCCUAUUGGGGUAUGAAGGUAACACCAUGAGGGGGUACUAUAAUUUUAUCACAUUUGUCCUGGUAAGUUGGUUUAUUAAGGUGAACUGAUUACAGCCCGCAGAGUUAAUUUUUAUAUGCUAAUACACCACAGCAAGUUGGGAACUUAAAUAAAAUGAUACAAUUAAUUCAAAUUUAUGACAGGCAGGGAAGCUCAGUAAGGUCAUCUGUAGAUUAUAUUAACACUGCAUCAUCCAGACAUUUCAUCCCAUUUUGUCUAACGUCAGGUGGCUGCUCUGUGUAUCUUAAUGCCCCUGGAAUGUGGAAGGAAAUGUGAUGCAUUGUGUACAUUGGGUGAAUCUUGGCUCAGUUGCUGCAUGCAGAGAAGACAUACACAACUCAUGAGGUACUCUAAACACUGUACACAUCUUAUGAUUCAUAGUGUGAACCACAAACUUCGCAAUUUUAGAAAAGUGUCUGCACUAAACUUCUCAGGAUUUUAAUUCACUGGGGAAAAUGUAUGCCAAAAUUAUUCUGCUUUUUUGUUUGUUUGUUUAUUAGCCACCCCAAAACCUCUUUGGGUGACAUGCAAACAAUUUGAAUAAAUGGGUAAAAACAUCAAAACAAUGCAGUGCAAUCAGAUACAGCACUAAAAUUCAAUAAACAAGCACAAAUAUAUAACUGGCAGCCACAGCCAUAUAAAAAAUCCUACAGAGAAUUAAAAUAUCUGCGGUAUGUCCAUGUUUUUCAGGCAUAUGAGGUGAUAGUCAGUGCUGUUGGGUUCUUGAUGUCAGGCAUUGUAGUCUUGACUUGGACACGCACUGGUGAAAAGGACAUCGUUGUAUCUCCUAAGUAAUUAUUCAAAUUUUGCUUCUGAAUGAGAAUAUGGAUUCCUUUUCUCUCUCUAGCUUAUAAGCAUUGCUUAUGUUUUUAAUUGCACAACUGAAUCUUCCUGAUAUUUUGUGUCUGUUAUCAUUGACGUGAUCCUUAAUUGCCUUGUCUACAGCAAGGCAACAUACAGAGCUCCCACUAAAGAGGGAUCAGGAAAGAAAAUGAGGGCGGGGACUUCAUUGUGCUGCCCAGGAGGAAGGUUGGAGGUGGUUCUUCCUGCAUUUGGGAUGGAUGGAUAUCCUUAUCGCAAUAGCGUAUGUGUACCCAUGGUUGAUGACCUAGAGAUGGUAGGGAGUGUUUUAUGGAAAGCACUGUAAAUUUACAAUGCAAUCCUAACCACAUUUACUCAGAAGUAAGCUCUGUUGCAUUCAGUGAGACUAUGGCUGCAUAUACAUCAAGCCAUUUGUAGCACAAAAAUUUAGUUUUUUAAAAAUCCAGAAUUGUUCGUGCUUGUCCUCAACAUGGUGUUUUCAGUGUAGAUUGUUUUUAGAACCUGGCAUCCACAGGGAUGGGCAUGGUUGCUUGAAACCCAUUUGAAAACCGCCCCAUUGGGUAGUUAAGCUAUGCCUUUUCCUCUCUGCAGCUGCAUGAAGAAAGAAGUGGUGAUUGCACUAUUGGUAUACGCUCACCCACAACGUCAUUGGGGAGGUAGGGAUACACCUCUCUGCCCCACUGCCAGGACUGCUUACAAUCUGUUUUCCAAUGGACACACUGCAGGGUAAUGCAGAAUCAAUCUGCAAUGAGCUUUUAUUUUUGGAAUGAAACCAUAAGCACUUUUCAGGGGCAAAAAAAUAUACAACAGAUGUAGCUGGCGUGUACACUACAUGGAAAAAAACAAACACGUGCUCACUCUCCACUGAUUUUGGAAUAAAAUGUUGUGUGUACGCAGCCUUACUUCCUAGUAAGUGUGUUUUGGAUUGCAGCCUCAAAUGUGGAGGCACCACAUAGGUGAGUUGGUGUCUCUUAAAUGAGCUUUGGUGCACUAUUCUUUUGUGUGCUAUUGAUUUUGUGUCAUUCUUUGGGGCCAUCAUGACAACUCUCUAUAUUAAACUACAUAAAACAGCAUCUCUGUGGAGCAAGUCAGCCUCGCUCUGCUCCUGAACCACCACAUGGAGGCUUUUUUAUAUUAAGCAGCUACAGCAACUGCCCAGGAGGGAAGAGAGGAGAGAAAGUGAAUCAAAAGGUAGGACAAAACUGGAAGGGGGAGGAGAAAGAGCAUAGGAGGCAUUUUCUAGGUAGAUUGGGACUCAAGAAAAACAACAACAUGUACAUAAAGCAGGCAGUCUUGUCAGGAGAUUAUGGCUUCCCCUUUGAUUUACCAGCUCUUGUUAUCAAAAUGAUUUUGUAAAAAUAUAGGUCAUGGUAGCCCAGAAAUGUCUUAAUAUACUACACAGGGGUGGGAAACUUCUGGCCCUCCGGAGGUUGCUUGACUCCAACUCCCAUAGUCCCCAAGGACUGGCCAUCCUGGCUGGGAUGAUGGUAGUUAAGAGCCUUUUGGAGGACCACAGUAGGUUCCUCAUCCCCGCCGAAAGAAAAGCCUUCCUGCCUGACACCACAGACACUUCCCCAUGUUGCAAUGGUGCUUAAGGGCAGAAGGCCAUUAAUCAGAACAAGAGAUUGCUUAAAAACUUUAAAAAAUAAAUAAAUUAGAUGUGUAUUGGUCAUGAAUUCUGGUAGUUGAAUGUUUUCCCUUUGAGGAAAGACUCCAUUUUUGGGAGCCUGAAAUCUGGAUUAUGACUCCAGAAACUAAAUUUGGAAUACACACAGAGUUAUCAUCCUUUUCAGUCUGACAAUUACAUCAGCAUGAAAUUCAUCAGGCUUGCAUUUGUGUUAGUUUUUUUUUGGGGGGGGGAGCGGGGUGGGUUUCUAAUUGCAGAACAGUUUCACCAUAAUCAGUAUAAUGUCAAUAAUAAUCAGUUUUUGAAGUAAACUGGCCCUGCGAUUUGGAAGCUCAUCAUUACCAAGAGCAGUAGUUUAGUGUAUGUGUAUAUUUAUGACUUUUAAUUUUAAAAAAUAAUUCAGGGAGGCCGAUGAGAACUUUUAUAAAGGCAAAUUAAGUCAUUCUAGACUGGCAUAACAGACAAUAUGUCAUUAUGAAAUUACCAAAUUACAUGGACAAUUAAAUUUCCUUAUUAAGCAAGAUAUAAUGCCAACAAUGUUACAGCAAUUUAUAAAGUUGAACGUUAUUUUCAGCAGUAACAAGCCCAGUGCCUCCAAAAUAAAAGGGGCUUGUUUUAGAAGCUUGGUCAUUCAGAACUGGAAAGGGAGCGAUUACAAUUCGUCAUGGGAGCAAUUUAAAACUUGCAGGUACUUAUCCCAGUUGUGUGGCUUUUAGUCACAUUUGCUGGAGAUUCUCUGAGCUGAUCGCUCUAUUCAUGCCCACUUUGAAUCCAAUUUGGCAAGCAGAAAGGAAGAAUUGUCUGGCAGGCAAAUUUGCAUAGCAGCGAAACAGUGUGCCAGGGGCUUCCCAGGACUUCCCAGGGCACACUAGAUAGGUUGGCCUGCGAAUGUGAACCAAAUCAAAUUUGUGCCCCCCUCCCUCUGGCUGUGUCCGAACCGGGUGCCUCCUGCCUGCCAGAAUGAGCCUGCUCAGAGUGGUGGUCAGAAUGUUCUUCUCUUAAGACCCAGGAGACCAGGGUUCAAAUCUCCACUCAGCCAUGAAGGUCACUGGGCAACUGUGGGCCAGUCACUGCCUCUCACCCUAACCUACCUCACAAGGCCGUUGUGGGGAUUAAAUGAGGAGAGGGGAGAACCAUGUAUCACCAACUUGAGCUCCUUGGAGAAAAAUGUGGGAUAUAAAUAAAUAAAUGCAAAAUAAAGAGCCAGCCCCCUUUUGGCUAUCCACCAUGGUCCUUGAAGUGAGCUUUCCUUUUAGAGAUGCUUAUUAGCGUUUGCUGGAGAUAAAGCGGCACACCCGCAGCUGCUGUAUUAAAAGGUGAGAAAACAAAUAAGAACAAGUGUUAAUUCACAUACACAAAUCCCCUGUCUGCACAGCAGGUGGAGCGGCUGCCUCCAUGCGGGGAGGGCCCUUUCCUGCUGCGAGGCUUUUCCUUCCUGUUUUAUUGCCUCAGUGUUUGUUCUCGAAAGACUGCACCAGACUUAUGAGUAUGUUAUCACUGUGGAUUCCUCCUGAUUAUGAUUUUACUUAUUUUAUUUUUACAAAAAUGAAAUGUGAUUUGCUGCAGAUCGGCAUCUAUGAAAUAUUCGAGUGAAAGCAAAAUAGGUGUUGCUUUGCUCCCCAGUGGAAUUCUUUUGGCUGGGUGAAGAAGGGCCUCUCCGCUAGCUGGGCUUUGAUGGAGCUGUUUCAUUUGGGAAGAGAGAGGUGUUCCACAGUAAAGGGACUUUGAUAUGUGCUGGCAAGUGGGGCAAGAGAAGGAAGUUUGGUGGUGCUCUGCUAUCAAUGUCCAGUGUGGAUAAUUCAGUACUGGGUAGUUCUGGACAAGUUGCUGUCCUAUGGCCACAGAUCCCAUCUGUAAAAAAAUUUUUUUGGGGGGCAGUGGAAUUGGUGGUCUCCUUCCUGAGGCUGUUUUCAGGCUCUCAAAACCCUUUACAAGCCCAGUGGGCAACCAUGGAGAGACAGUCAUCAUUGCAGCAAGAUCAAAAGUAAGCCAUUUAACUAACAUAUAUCCUGACAUUUCUGUAAACUCUUCCAAACUAUAGGAUAGGGUGAAUGAGAAAAACAGUAAGUUACGGUACAUGAAAAGAGCUCUUUCUGUCCCUUUAAAAACCAACUUUAAGGAUGUCCAUGAUCUUCAUUGUCUUGCUUUUCCUCUUGAAUUAUUUCUGUAUUCCUGUAGAAAUUGGAUUCAUCUAAAAAAUGGGCAGAGGAUAUAUGCCUCCUAUGUCUCACCUCCUCAGUCUUCAUAAGUCACCACUGUGGUUUCAAAUAAUCUUCUUAUUGUGCUGUUAAACAUUUUCAGUUCAUCCACCGUUUGGGAGGCCUGUUGUCAGGCAGAAAAGCAGGAUAUAAAUAUUUUAAAUCAAUAAAUCUACCUGUUCACAAGCAAGUUGUGCACUUGCCACUAAUGACAACAUAUAAGCUGUUUGCCUUCUUAAGAGGUGGCUGUUCCAGAUAGCACUGCCCCUUUUAUUGCAACCCUCACAAACCCCCAAUUUACCUUAUAAUGCUUGAACUGAUAGCUGACUGUGAAGACAGAUAAGUGCAAAAUCAGGAAGGGUGUAUGUCAGAUUAGAGCACUUUUUCCUGAUUUGGGAAUAUGCAAAGCUUCUAGUUACACAGGACCCUUCAUCAGGCAGAAGGCUAAAUUCCAGGGAGAAGGAAAGAAUGUGUUCCAGCUGCAAAGCUGGUGUUUUAGCCACUGCAUUUGUAUUGUAACCUAUUCACUUCAAACUCACUUAAUACACUGACCACCAGCAGCAGGGCAAUUACUAUUGCAGUGACUCCUCAGGAAUCUGAGGUUUCUGUUCAUCUCUUUGUCCUCAGUAAGACAGUAAGUUUUAAUUCCCAGGCACGUCUUUUAAAGGUGUUGUACAUGUCAUUUUCCAAUCUGCUCAGAUUCAGUUGAACAUUAAAAUAAUUCCAUUGUAGCUCUUGUGCAGAAUGUUCAUCUACCUGUUUUAUUAAUGCUGCAAAGUCCUUUGGGAGAGCCAUACGACAGCAUAUGAAUGGGAAUCUUUUUUAAAAAUCCUAAAUGAGCACAGCAGAUGUAUGAAAGCAGCAGAUGCAGAAAGAAAGAUGAAUUGAACAUAAUUCAUUGCAUUUUUGGGGGGAAAGUUUAUCCUUUAGACUGUUCUGUUUAUGGCUCACAUUUUCUGGGGGGGGGGGAAUACAUUUUCCUUAUGACUUUUGAUUUAUGUCGUUUGACACAUCAGAGGGCCCGAAGCUUGCACUUUUGUAUACCUGAGUCACAAAAUGGGAUUUUUAUUUAAAGUGUGUUUUUUAAAAAAAGUUUAAUGCAAUACAGUGGUGAACUGAUACUGUGGCACUUUAAACUGACAGAUCAAUAAACUUCAGUAAUGACUGUAAAAUUACAUUACAGAAUCGUGGAUUUAUUUUUCUUUCCAUGACUUCAGAAUUGCGCAGCACAAAUUUUAAACACACACAAACCUAUUUCCAAACCUCUACUUUACAUCUCUUAACUUUCAUCACAUACCACAGUUAAGAAUCAGUGGAUGAUCUCCUGAUAUCAGAGGUAGUCCCAGUUUGUUUGAAUAUAUUGGGUUUGUUUGUUUGCAGGAAUGAGCAGAGUAAACUGGGUAUGAAUUAAGGAGGUUGCAGAGUAAAAAAGAGGUAUUGUCCUACACUUUCGUAACAUGGCCAUAAUAUUCCUCAAAGAGAAGGCAGGUGGAGAGCAUCUGCCCUGAUGCCAGAAACCCUCAACACAACAAUGCAGGGGUGUGGGGUGUGGGUGUGUUUGUGUUGUGCAGGAAUGCUGGUCACCUUUCUUAAACUACAGUCAAUUCAAUUUAUUAUUUCAUUUAUACCCAAGCGUUCCUCCAAGGAGCUGAAAGGUGGCAUAGACCUCCCCAUCUCCAUUUUAUCCUCACAAGAACCCUCUGAGGAAGGCUAGGCCGAGAGUGAGUGACUGGCCCAAGGUCAUGGCUGAGAGGAGAUUUGAACCCUGGUCUCCUAGGCCCUAGUCCAGCAUUCUAACCACUGCGCUACACUGGCUAUCUUCUGACACGUUGCAGAAGAUAGUUUAAUACCCCUUAUGACCUAUCUUAAAGUAUCCAUUCUGUGUUUUGCUACAAUAUUUAAACCUGCCAUUGAAACCCCGUUUCUUAGAGCAGAAAUGCUUACCAGAGAGGUGAGCUGUUCUGUUGUUUUCUCUGCAUUUCCCCCACUAGGGGGCAGAAAAGUCUGUCUCAGGGCUUUAAAGACAGUGCCGCAUUUCUUCAAAAAAGGCUCUUUAGCAGAAGGAAUCAUUAAUUUAUUUGCCCUUUCUGGAACAUUAGAGUAUUAAAACAGACUGUGAAUUCUCAGACAAAUGGAAUGUCUUAAUGGUCCUCUGAUUCUUCUGGUCACUGGGCACCAUUUCUCCCCAUCUCCACACCCUGGAGAGAGAUGCUCAUUCGCUGGGCCCAGCAUCUUGUGCUCUGUGCUUAACUUGGGGCCUGGAUGGAAUGUGUUUUUAAUAUCCAAGAUUGGUCCUGGGGCAUGUGGUAAAGGAGGAGAGUGCAUUUGAACAUGUGCAGAGUGCCUUGCAGUUGCCACUGAAUUACCACAACUUGCCCCACAAACAAAUGAAUGUUUAGGAGUCAGGGUUUCCACAUCUGCUUUCAAGGUAGACAGGACCCUGGCAUUUAUGCAUUAACUACAGGCAGGACUACCUUGCUUAUGUGUUUGGACCUUUCAUCUUUCCUACAAGCCCAAGGCAGCUUCUAGCAUAACGGCAGCAGAAUAGCAACAAUAAUCAGCAAGAAAUUAUAAAGUGCUUUAGCCACGCAGCACAACCGUAUUUUGGGACCAAAAAACAAUCCAGCUAUUGAAACUCAUAAAGCAAAGAAAAUGGCCUUUGCUUCCUUCUCAGAAUCCUCAGGGAAGGGAAAGGUGACAGCAGCGGCAACCACAUGGUCAUAAAAACUUAUUUUGGGUCUUGCAUCAGGAGCAGGAGCGCCUGAGUCAGGGGUCAGGUGUUCCUCCACUGGACAGAGGCAGGGCCUGGUCUGCACCAGCCCAAUCUUGGAGUGAGCGUGGGAGCCAGCAAGCAGCCUGGGGAAUUGCUACAGCACUGCCCAAUAUGCACUCUGCUCCCUGCACAUGCCAAGGAGUGAGGGAGAUGUCUUAAUCUGCACCUUCUGAAAUGGCUCAUGUCCAGGGCCUUGUUCUCAGACAUGAACAAGGAGAUGGAGUGCUUUCUCUCUUCGUUCUUUAGUGCUACCCUGUGUUCUGCAACUGUAAGACCUACACUGACUGGUGUGUACAAUGCAGGGGAAGGGCUGACCUGGUGCCCUCCAGAUAUUGUUGGACUACAGCUUCUACCCUUCCUGGCCAUUGGCCAUGCUGGCUGGGUUGUAGUUCAAAAGAUCCUGGAAGGGCUCCCAAGGGUCAUUUAGUCCAACCCCCUGCAUGGCCAAAGCUGAAUAAUCCCUGACACACGGCUAUCCAACCUGUUUAAAAACCUUCAUGAAGGGGAGUCCGCCACAUUUGAGGUAAUCUGCUGCACUGCCAAACAGCUUUUGCUCUCAGAAAGUUCUUCCUCAUGUUUCGUUGGAAUCUCCUUUCUUGUAAUUUGAAUCCAUUGAAGCAGCAGAAAACAAGCUCGCUUCAUCUUCCGUGUGAUGGAACCAAUUAUUUUCCCACCCCUUUCUCUCAGCAUUAGCAUUCGCAGACGACGUUCAUAAGAAGAGCCCAGCUGCAGAGGGAUCAGGCCAAAGGGCCCUAUCUAGUUUAAUAAUAACAAUAGUAAUAAUAAUAAUAUUACUUAUACCCUGCCCAUCUGACUGGGUUGUCCCUGUUUGUACACAAUAAAAUGUCCCGUCAGGAAGACCACUGGACAUGAGUACAAUUGCAUUCUCCCCAGCAACUGGCAUUCAGACACCUACUGCCUGUGACAGAGGUUGAACAUAGGCAUCAUGACUUGUAGCUGCUGAUAGUCUCAUUCUCCAUGAAUUUAUCUACUCCUCCUUUAAAGCCACCUGCACAGUGUGGGAGAGAGUCUACCACAGGGGUUCCCAAAUAUUCCCCCCACCGUGGGGAGAAAAUUGCUGAAGGUCUUGGCAUACCACUUAACGAUGUUCCUGCCUGCUGCAGCAGUUGUAAUUCCAUAGAAUUCAAUCUGUAACACAAUAAAAUACAAUAUAAGAAAUAAAACGGAGCAAUAAAAAUACAAUUAUGAAUAUUCCGCGUGACGGAUGUGCUGCCUCCUUUCUUCAACCACAAAUCCACAGACACGCCAUGGAUCGCCUGAACGAAGCUCACAGACCACUUGUGGUCCACAGACCACAGUUUGGGAAUUCCUGGUUUAUGACACAGUUGGAAGCCUUUUAUGUUCUUCACUGAAGGCAAAUGUCAGGGAUAAGGAAAGCAGUGUUCGUAUAACACGUCUGAGGAGACCAGCCCAGUUGCCUCAACCAGACCUCCUCCAUGGUAUCACUUGCUCUUCCCCCAUUUCCUUAUUCUUGGAAGGACAUCAGUUGCUGCAUGUGUUCAAAACGGCCCAGGUGUGUGAUCUGCCGGUAGCAAUUCUCCCACGGAGAUUGUGAUGGGGUGGCGGGUGCUGUCAGGCCAAACCACGCUGCAAGGAGAACCAGGGAGGCUGAUCAGAGCAGCCAUCUGCUGAAACUAUUGGUAUGCUUCAGAUUUCCCAGGGUUAUCAUAUGUGUGUGUAUGUGUGUACACAGUACUUAUUUUCAGGCUGUUGUUGCUUUUAAUCCAGAAGACUCCAAUCAGGUUCUGAUCAAAUCUCCUUUCUAUAGCCUCCUCUCCAGGUAGCAGCAGCUUCAGUUGAGGUACCUUUUGAGAAGCACGUUACGCAGCUGGGAAGCUUUUUUUAAAAAAAAGGCGUGUAAAACAACACAUGAAAAAGACUCAAUUUUUGUUUAAGCCUGGUGGUGAUUCCCCACUCCCUCUUCUCUCCACCCCCCCCAACAGAGCAUGAAAUUAAAAUGCAUGCACAGAGCUACAUGAUUGCUACAGCGCUGUGGCUCAAGCUGUGGUUCUCUGGUGGAUGUCAUUAGUCACGCUAAGACAGACUGGGGUGGAACGGGAGUGGCAAAAAUUUGCGGCAAAGAGGAUGUUUAUAUGGAACGAUUGACUGCUAUGGACCUAAUCUCCUGGCAUCGGCUUGCUGAUAGGCAUAGCAAAGGGACGUGGGAAGGAUAUUGUAGCACUCCCACAAGGGAUGCUGUGUGGCCCCGGAAUGUGAGUCGCGCUCAACUGUAACCAAUAGAGGCUAAUGCACCUUUCUGAGGGAAGUCAGUUUGCCAUGUCGGCAUCGGUGCCUUUGCGGCCACCCACAAUCCUUACUCUUGACUUGGUAUCUCUGCCCAGAAACAAACAAGCUAUUCAUAAUCCCUGCUUGUAAGUACCAGAACAAUUUGCAGCUUUAGGCAAGAUUUAUUGCAAAUCCCUAUUGUUUUCCCUCGUAAUUGCAGAUACAGAUGGCUCCAGUGGUAUGGAAAGAAAUCUUAAACCAUAUAAAGGGUGGGAUAUCCUUAGUUUUUCGCUCAGAUCUCACACAUUUUUUUGAUGCUAACCCCAACUCUCUAGCUUCCCCGCCAUGUGAAAAGUAAUAAUCGACAAAGUGGUCACCUGUUUGAAGAUUAAAUGUUUCCUUAUGCAGCAAAGGAGUGGAGUUUGCUGCUGCACAAUGGCCAUAGACUGGCUGCCCUUUUGUUACUCAUUUUCCCUGCUUGGUUGUUAAGAUGCUUAGCUGCGCCUGAGUGAAUGAAAUCACAGCCAACUUGGAGGCUCCCCCAGCAGCUCAGCUGGCCAUUUGCAGAUGGAAGAGAGACAAACCUGGUUCAUAAAGCCAGAGCCGGGAGAGGAAUUCACUAAACAGAUUUCCCCCCAAAGGAAACAUGAGGAAAAGAGCUUGUGUGUGUGUGUGUGUGUGUGUGUGUGUGUGUGUGUGUGUGUUCAAAUGUCUGGGAAUGUCCUUCAGCUCACAUGCCACCAGGAAUAAACAUUAGCUUUGAUCUUUCUUCUCCCCCAAUUCAUAUUAAUAAUGAGUCUACAUUGUUAUAAACAAGCAGCCCCAAUUGUGGGUGGAAUCCAGCAUUCUUUUACGUUUUGAUUUUGCAGAGGAGUGGUGGUUAUGGUCAGGCUUUCCCUCCUUUUUUCAGUAAUUGUGUUUGAAAUGGGUUGUGAGUUUAAACUACUAUUACGGGGUUAGGGUGGUGUUAUAAAAGGUGGAUAAUAAAAAAAGUAAUUUCUCAGGGAUCUCUGUGUGUGUACAUGCACAUUAAAAUAAAAUAAAAUAGGAUACAUAAAUGCUGCUGCUUAUAUAAUAUACAAGCCAGGUUCCAUAAUGAUGUACCUACAGUCUAUCAAUUUUCCAAACCAAGCAAGGAAGGCACUUCCCACAUCUUGGACUGAGGAGGUAGAAAUGCUUCCCUCAGCUUCCAAGGAUGUCCCAGGAUGUGGUUUGUUGGACACUUGCGGCCGGCCCUCUCCUUAGCCAGAGGAGAGAUAAGUGCCUCUGAUGGCAGGACAAUGGAGGGAACCAGCCAUUUCCCUCUAUUUGAUGACAGAGCCCUGUGUAUGUCACCUAGCCGGUCCUGCACCCCCAAAACCAGCCUGCUUCACUAAGGUGUGAUGACGAUGAACACUCUCUUCUCGCCAACUGCAAGCCCAGUUGGGUUCUGUCCUUGGAAUGGAGGGAUGAAUAUACCACAUUGCCCUCGGCCAGAGGCAGUGAAAUAAUUUGGGCCUGCCCUGGGGACAAUCCUGCCCCCUCCCUCAGUACAGGAUUGAGUGAGCAGCCUUGCCGCCUGUCUUGGCCAGUCCAGUCCUCCUGAGCCUAAAGGUUUCAGUAAAGUAGACAGGGGUAUGUGUGGGGGUGGAGGAGGGUCACAAAAUACUCUGCUGAACAGAAAACAGAUGAAGAUGGCUUCCAGAGCAUGUAGACAAUUCUACAAAAGGGCUGGGCUGGCUUAUCUGACAGGGAGGUGAUUCAGCCAACAAAUCCUACCACUGAUGGUCAAGGAAUGUGAAAUAUCUGGCUACCGAGGACAUGCCCGGAGAUUGGGAAAUUUUGGGGCAUGAUCCAUGAAGAGAUAAAGAAAAUACUAAGAAUUACUUAUAGUAAAAGUCCAGAGGCAUUCCUAUUAGGAAUAUUAAACGAUGACAUUCCAAAAGAUAAAGUUAAAAUAUUCUUAUAUGCGACAUCAGCGGCAAAAAUCCUGGUAGCUAAGUACUGGAAAGGGAAACAAAUACCUACCAGGGAAGAAUGGCUAUGUAAACUUUGUGAAUAUGUGGAGUUAGCCAAACUGACGGACAUAAUAAGAAUGACCUCUGGUUGAGUUUAGAAAGGGGAAGGAAUACUCACACACACACACACACACACAUGUGUAUAUAUGUGUAUAUAUAUAUAUAUAUAUAUAUAUAUAUAUAUAUAUGGAUUGAGAUAAUAAGGAAAUACAGAAAGAUAUAACGAGACUGAAAUGAAGUGUUGUGAGAUCAGUGAAAGUCUUUGAUUUAUCAACUUUGGUUAUGUAACGAUGAAUAUGGUGUUGGGAAUAUGUUUGUUUUUCUUUUUUGUCUUAUCUUCGUUUCUUUUCUUUUCUCUUUCUUUUCUCUUUCAUUUUUAGUUUCGUGUUUUAAUCUGUAAGAUUUGAAAUUGUUUCUUUCUUGUUUUGGCGUAUUGUUAUAUUUUGUUAUUAAUAUUAAUAAAUAUUUAUUAAAAAUACAUAGCAUUAAAAAAAAGAAAUAUACGGCCACCGGAAGAAGAGUUCAGCCCCCCGGCCCAAAUGUGAUUAUUUAUACUAAAAAGGCAAAGGGUAAGGUGGCACACACAUACACCCAUUCCAACCAGUUGCCGGCCCCUUAUGUUGGACAAAUGAGACAACAGCACGUAGAUUUCUCUCUCUCUUUUGCCUCACCCAACUUUAAAAAUUAAUAAUUACAACAUGCUUGCUUUGUUUUCAUACGUUUGCAGUCUGUGCUUCAUCAAGGGUUAUUAUAGGUUGCCUUUGCCAUCAGCCUUUAAAACACAGACAUGAUGAGGAAAAUGGAAAGAAAUGAGAGCUUUCAUCUGCCUAACCUCAGGAUACUUCCCUUGCAGAGAGGGAGGAAAUGAGGAUGGGAAUGGCUGUGGGAGCAUGUGCUGCCCCUCCACACAUCCACAAUGAAAAGUAAACUCAAAUGCUAGCAGAAUUAUUUUGCCAAAGGCUGACUUCCUUCUUUUGGAGAAAAACUGUCUAAAGAAUUUUUUCGCUGGGUGCCCAUUAGUAAAAUGCCCACCGAAGAUCCAGAAAUAAAAUGUGUUUCAUUAUAGGAAGCUGCCUAUAAUGUUUACUGUAGGGGUGGGAACCAUUUUCAGGCUGAGCGCCAUGUUCCCUUCUGAACAACUUUCCAAGGGUGGCAUGUCAUUGGUGGGCAGGGACAGAAGCAAAAGUGGGUGGAACAAUUAACUUGAAUUUCCCUUUGUACUAUAUAAUGGUUUCAACACACACUGUUCUCUAUCCAUCCAUUCAUCCAUCCAUUCAUCCAUCCAUCCAAGCAAGAGCCAUUAUCAGAGUUCAAGGACACAUUCCAGCCAGGCAGAAUCACUCAAAGAGGGUACAAAGCAGGGCAAAUGAGGGCUGUAGUCUACAGAGACUCCUGAGCUGGGAUGGGAGAGAAAUUUGAUUCCAUUCACAUUCAAAGCUGAAUUCAUCAUGUUUGUACUUCCCCCAAAAUAUGAGAACCAAAACCAGCCAUCCUUCGGAAUUCACACUUAUGCGAAUUUUGCAAUGCAGUUCUCCAACCAGGGUUUACAAAAAUGCAGAUUAGAAGAAAGUGUCCAUAAAAAGGAAUAUAUUCAAGAAAAUAACUUACAAGCCUGCAUUAUGUUAGGAGAAUUUGCUUACAAAAUUAGUUAAAACUGCAUAAAAAUGUAUUUAUGGGGAGAAAUUAACACUAAACUGCUAAAGAACUUUCAAGAGCAUUUUUAAAAAGAUAUUCACAAAUUGCUACGGAAAUGUGGAGAAUCAAAUUGGAAAAAUGGAGCAACUGAGAACUGAAAUUGACAGAUCCUUCUGUUUCUGCUUCCGAGGGCCAAAUAAAGAGGCUAAGGGUAGUGCUGUAGAUCUUGGCAUUACAAGAACAGCACAAAUUAUACACUAUUGUUUUGUAUUAGUAAGGAAGCAAAUUCCUGUUCAGCUGGUUCCAUGUACUGAAGGGGCAGGUUGUUCUGGUCAUAGAUUCUUUCUCUUCACCUCCUGCCCUGUCACUUGGCAACACAUUUUUGGACUGGAGGGACAUUUCAACAGCAGUUUCUGAAUGAAGCAGCCAGCGACAACAUCAAAUCCACCUGCCACUGUCCGUUGAGUAACAUGCUGACAAAAUUCUCCUGCUUUUUCUUCUCCCUGUAUGCAUACACACCAUACAUUAUUUUAAAGCAUAGGACAUAUUCCCAAAGAAUCCUGAGAAAUGUAGUUUGUUAAGGGUGCUGGGAAUUGUAGCUCUGUGGGGUGUGUGAACUACAGUUUCCAGGCUUCUCUGCAGGGAGCCAUGUGCUUUAAAUGUGCCUUAAGUGUAUUGUGUGUUUGCAGCCUUACAGGAAGCUGAUGGAAUUCUGUAGGAACAGCUAAGUGAUUCUGGAGGUUUGUAUGUGGUGCUAAUGAAGGAGGCUAAUGGAGGCCAGUCUUGCUGUUGGAGGAGACCAGCAAAGCUGGAAUCUUGUUUGAAUUAAAACGAUGUCUGCUAAGUAAAGGAGCUCUCCAGGGCAUAACAGACCAUCGCUUCCAACAGUCCAUACUGUCCGUACUGAACGGCAUAUUUAUAUCUUCCAGACUUGUAAUUAAUCACUCAGUAGGACUUUUAGAGAUGUGCUUUCACAGAAGAACUUAUUGUACUGCCAGGAACCGCAAGGCCAGGGCACAAUUAAAAUGCUGAUUUAAUGUAUUACACCGAGGCACGGAACAGGGAUGUUUUAAGUGAUGUUGACAGGCCAGAAUUUCAAAACCACCUAUUUUUGAAAUGAAAAACAAAUGCUCCCCCUGCCCCCCACAAUUAAAUUACAUUAAUAGAGGGGCCCUAAUAAGUUUUCUUGGAAGUGAAACAAACCUCUAGACAAUAAUGAAGGCUUGAAGAUGCACCAUCUUUAAUUAGAUAUUCAGUGCUUGUUAGAGGAAUGAAUGUUGAAAUAACCUGUGCAUAAAAACCAAAAAGAAUGUAAAGUUGUGAAUGAAACAGCCAGCAUGUUCAUUUUGUGUCAGGAUGGAGGCUUUUCAGAAAGAAAAUCUGUUUUUGUUUAAAGAAACUUUUGUAAAUAUUUCUGGGUUGGUUUUUUUUUUAAUGUAAUGAUAAGUUUCUGGUGUUUCAGGGAUUUUUUUUAGAAGGGCCAUCUUAACAGGAAACAUUUUCUUUGGAGAGGACUGAACACACUGGACUCCAUUUGCACUACUAAUACUACGAAUACUAAUUUUAUUAUUUAUAUAGUGCACACUAAGCUUUUGAUUGCCCCUUACAGGAGCAUUGUGAAGGGGUCACCUAGGAGGAUAGAGCAUAUACCUUUGUACCAGGCCCUGACAGUGUGGCUCUCCCCACACUUUGCAAGUUCAAUGGAAACUUAUGUCAUGUGCCUGUGCCUGGAGGAUUUUGAGGAUCAAGCCAUGCCCAUGCAAUCGAUGGGCAACUGGCUUCUUAGUGCGAUCAGAACCCAUUGCGUCCUUAUCCUGGAUGAGCCAUAGCUCAGUGGCAGAGCAUGGGACGCAGGUGGUGCUGUGGUCUAAACCACUGAGCCUCUUGGGCUUGCCAAUCAUAAGGUUGGCGGUUCUAAUCCCCACGAUGGAGUGAGCUCCCGUUGCUCUGUCCCAGCUCCUGCCAACCUAGCAGUUCGAAAGCACACCAGUGCAAGUAGAUGAAUAGGUACCACUGCAGCAGGAAGGUAAACAGUGUUUCCAUGUGCUCUGGCUUCCAUCACAGUGUUCUGUUGCACCAGAAGCGGUUUAGUCAUGCUGGCCACAUGACCCAGAAAGCUGUCUGUGGACAAACGCCAGUUCUCUUGGCCUGAAAGCAAGAUGAGCACCGCACCCCAAAGUUGCAUUUGACUGAACUUAACCAUCCAUGGGUAAUUUACCUUUACCAGUGGAAGCGGCAUCUCCAGGUAGGGCUCAGAGAGACACCUGCCCCCAAAAUUGGACAGGUACUAUUGCCAGUCAGCAUAGAUAAUCCUGAUCUAGAUAGACCAAGGCUCUGACUCGGUACCGGGUGGUUUCUUAUGUUCCUACUGUUGAGAGGUGAAGGAAUUAUCCCUUCUUUGGCUCAACCCACCAGAGCAUAUGUGUGUGUGUGGGGGGGUGUCCCUGGCAUGUCUUCCAGAGUCAUUAAUAACAUGGGCCACUUUUGAGGCCACUGCUGUGGGGCCAACACUUUGGUUUGAGGCAAGUAGCUCAGAACAGCAGAGUAGUUUAGAAGCACGGAAAAUAAUCCACUGUGACCUUUGGCAACCAGGACUUGGCAGCUGCAACACAUUCAUGCUAUUAUUUUAACCACUCCUGCGGAACUUUUGCUUUACAAGGUGCUGUACAAAUAGCAUACAGAUUAAACAGUAGUGAGUCUGGGAAGUGGCAACUUGCCCAAGGUCACCCAGAGGGAUGAUCUUCAGUCAGCUCUCCCUGCCUGAAACCCCAGAGAACAGCUGCUGGUCAGUGUAGACAAUUCUGGGCUAGAUGGACUCAAUGUGUCUGACUUGGCACGUUCUCUCCUUGCCCAGCUUUCACUCCCAUCCUGUUCUGCCACUGAAAGUUGUAUCUUAUGCAGGCCUCUCAGUGUCUUCCCCUUGUGGCCCUAAGCUUGGGAAACAGGCUCUCCUCCUGCACUUGUAACAGCCCUGAUGCUUCUGCACUUCUGUGGGGCACAAAGACCAUGCAAGGAAAAGGAGGUGAAGCAGCAGCAUUUUGUGACCAUUGGGAGUUGGAGCCAGGGUCUCCCCUUUACUUUUACCUCUGCCCUGCUUGUCUCUCUCACACAAGUAACUAAGAAAAAGUAAAGAAUAAAGAAUAAAUAAGAAAUUUUCCACACUUAUCUUUCCUCCACGGUUUCCAGGCACAGUCUGUGCUUUAAAGUUAUGUGUCCAAGCACCCUUUUUCUUGCUUGGGAGUUUUCCCCAUGAAAACCCGCUCUUUACUGCUGAAUCAGAGCAAACAGCAACUUGCAGAAAACCAGAAUUGCCAUUUAUUGCACUUCAGCUUUAAAGACUGGGGCAAAAGGUAAGUGUGGAUAAAAGCUAAUGUGCUCUGUGUUUUCCUUGUUCAGCUUGUGACCUGGUCAGAUUUAGAAAAACAUUGUCUCUUCUUAGGGGCCUAUCUGCUUUAUCCAGUUGUCCAAUUCAUCCAGUUUUGUUGCAGCAUUUCUUCAAAGUCCUCUUCAAGGCCCUCCUCCUCCUCCAUCUAUGGAGAUGCAGUGUUGAGGAGAGCCAGAAUUUGGGCUGCAUCCUUGCAGUUAUAUAUUGGAUUCCAUCUGCUCUACCAUAAGGUGAAAGGGGCACCCCCAUUUAUUUGGCACCUUGGCUUCCUUUCGCUUCAGAGUAGGCAAUCUCAGGAUCUGCCUCCUGCAAAGGGUGUGUGUGCUCAAAUCUUGAAGAAGCAUUACAGAGGAUCCAUGGCAGGGAAGAUGUUGGGUGCUGCAAGUCACCCGUGCCAUUUCAUCCUUUACUGUAGUGUAAAGCAUUCAAAUGACACAAUAUCUCUAGGCUUGGCUGGGUUGGAGCGCUUGUGGUCAAGGGCUCUGUGGACUCAUUCUGCAUUUGUAUCAUUCAUUCUCAGAUUUGGGAACGCAUCUUGGCCCCAAUGUGUUAGCAUAUCCAACAAGUCCCCCCCUCCAGCCCUGUGGUUUCCAGAAUUCCCCUCACUCACAGAUUCUGCCUGCGCUGCCUGCAAUUUUUGAGGUUAUAAAGUUUCAUCUGGAGGUCUCCAUUCUGAUUCAUGAGUUUAGCCAGCUGGGACAAAAGUUGGAGCCCAUUUUCAAAAGCCUCAUUUACAGUUUUCAUUUGCUUUCUCUAUAAUAGAUCUCCUUUUAUUGCAGGCGAAAUCACAGGAGCACUGAUACGAUCAGGAGCGGCUGUAGAGCAUUAGCAAAGAGUGUCUGACAUUACUGGGAGCAAGCUCCACCCCGGCCCUUCUUCUGUUUUGACAUUUUACACUUUCCCCUUUGCUCUAAUCUAGAACAACAACUUCAACUUUUUUAUUUCUUUGCCUUACUGUAAGUGAGAUCUAAGUGGCAACAUUAGCCUAAUGUUACUUUUUUGACAUUUAAUGUGCCUGCCAUAUUAAUUUGAUAAAGGAAACCCACGGUGAGUUUCAGCCAAAGGGGCCUGCAAGAGAAAUGCUGUCCAGAGAGGCAAAUGCAGUUUCAUUUUAAUAAUCUGCACACAUGCGCGCGCGCACACACACACACACACACACACAGCUAUAAUGUCGGAAGCGGCAGGUCCCACCAGCCGCUCUGUGAAUAAGAUGUGAUUGAGAUCACAAAGACACGGCUGCGCUCCGGUGGCAGAAGCAGGCAAACAGUGAAGGGAAAUCUUAUCGCCAGCCCCAAAGCGCAUCUUUGGUGAAUGUCUUUUGAAUGCUGCUGAAGGUUAUCUGGGACUAGCUUGAAUUAAUUUGGUAAUCCAAUCACUUUCAAAAGUGACUCUCUGUUUCACAAAGGGAGGAAAGAGUAAGCUGUGGUCUCUCCAUCUGAAUGGAAGGAGCCGGGUUGCAAAGCAUCACUUGCUGCCUCCCAGGCUGCUCUCUGCAGCCUUGACAAAUGCCACCUUCCAGCUCUGUCUACUAAACAAGUUGGGGUGACUUCCUGACUGCAGCAAGGGCGUGAUUCUCCCAACAAGUAUGAAGAAGUGUACCAAUGUUUUUAAGCACAUGACAUAUCCCCUACCAUCUGUCAUCCUGGUGCUAAUAAUGUCAACUCACUGUGUUUACUCACAGGUAUGGCAUUCGAAGGCCCAGCUGGUGGGGCCUGCAUUCUGGGGGGGGGGGUUGCCCAAAUGAAAACAGCUUACCUAAUCCAGGUGGGGUGGAGUGGGGAAAGGGGGCCACCCCCUUUGUUUUGUGGUGGCCCCCUCAGGAUGGAUGACUCAGGAUUGGGGACUUCUAAGUGUAAUUAAGAUCUCACCCACUAUCCCCCAUACUUCGUUCACUGGCCUCUGACAUGAUGAGCGGACAGGGCACAGGAGGGAGAUGCCCACAAAUGAUAUCCACUGGGUGUCCUGCCCUAAGGCCCCUGCCUAAAGCUCCCUACCCUGCUCCAUUCUGCUCAGUUUUGCUCCAUUGCCUUCUGCAGGAAGAUAUGCCUGUUGCUGCUGCCCAGCAUGCAAACUUCUGGAGUGGGUUGCAUUGGUGUCUGCUUGCCUCAGGGGUUUUUUAACAUAGGAAACUGCUUUACCUCCAGCCAGAACCUUGUUCCAUCUAGCUUAAUACUGUCUCCACUGAUUGGCAGUGACGACUCCCCAGGGUUUCAAGCAAGGAGGCCCUUCCUGCCCUACUUGGAGAUGCCACCGGGGAUUGAAUUUGGGACACCUUCUGUUAUGCAAAGCAGAUGCUCUUCUUCUGAGCCAAGGACCUUCCCAGUGUCACACUGUGGCUGCAGGCAGAGAUGCCUGGCAGAGCAAAUGUUUAGAACUGGGAUGUAAAUGGCUUAAUCCCAUUAUCUCUCUCCCCCACCCCAAGAUUCCAAGGCCAUAUAAAUUCUUGAUGAUAUUGAAAAAUUCUAGACAAUUGAAAAAUAUAUAUAUUUUUUUAAGGAGAAAGCAUUCAUGGUGACUCAGCCUUAAAAACCAUGCAAGGGAAUGUCCAGAGUAGGGGAAGGAGGGCUGGCCCAGGCAAGCCAUUUGUUUCUUAAAAGCUCUUAAAAGGUUAUGAGCAAAACAAAACAACAGAGUAAAUGGAAUUUAAAAAAAACUAGAACAUUAAUUGAUUUUUAGAAACCAAAUUUGCCUGGCAUGUAAACCCGUUCCUCUAGCAAGAUUUAAACAAACUUUUGGCAUGGAAAACGUCAAGGGAUCCUUUUGCUAUUUGUGGCUUGACCAGAUCUAAUGUUUGAAAAUGAACUGGAAACCACAAACAGAUUGUCAGACCUGUCCCAGGAUAUGUUAAACUUUUCUAUGAUUUACAAGAUUUCUGGAGGGAAUACUUCACAUCGUAAGACUCGGUUCCUCCCGGGAUUUAACAAGGCAUUUGUUAUAAAUGUUUCCGCAUUUUAUGAAGCAGGUAUUAUGCCAUAGACCAGGACCAAAUGGCUUGCUCUGUAAAUGGAGGGGCUUUUAUUGUGUGGCUGAUGUCACAGGUCAGGAGGCCAAUAGACACCUGUUUGUUUGGUGCAUGGUAAGAGCCUGGCUGGCUGACAUUUUUUCAGAUUUAUCCACAGAGUGGAAAUUAUAUAUGACAAUCAAUGAGAUUUUCCUUUUAGAUCCAGGCUUGCAAAUAUUUUUGCUUAAUGAGCUGUUAAUUCAGACCAGUAUUCACCUGUGAUGUAAAAUAUCACUGUGGUUCUUUCCAACCUGGUUUACAUUCUAUUAUACUUUAAGAUACUUCUCUCUCUCGUGUAUAGUCUGGAGUUAUUUCUGCUCAGGGCUCCUGUCUUUGCUCACAGAGUACCUUUAAUGGAAUCACAGUAUUUUUCCCUUAGCUUAAUAGCACAGCUUUCCUGAGUGCAUAGAAACAUACAAUCUGUUUGUGCAAUAUAUUGGAUUGCAUGGAACUUUUCAUCAGUCAGAACAGUAAAGGAGCAAUAUCUCAAUGGAUAGGGUGAGCCAAGCCAGUUCUGUCCAAGUGCAAAUUAUCAUGCUUAUUUUUAAAAUUAUUUGUUAUUAAAUAUAUUCAGUAGUUGAUGCAUUGUUUAGCUUCACAAGACAAAACAGUCAAAGGAGGCCUGAAAAACAGUUUGUGUGCUUGGACAUGCUAGUUGCUAGUGGGACAUUUGUACUUUGAAUGAGCGCUCUGGACAGUGAAGACUUUACAUUUGCAUUACUGAGCAAUUUGCGGAAGGGGGCUUUUGGAGACGGGAAAUCAACCUCAGGUUCCAAGGAGGUGGGAGAGCUGCUUUGACAUCAGUAGGAGAUGAGUUGCACCCAAAUACUUGGAUUUGGGCACUGAUGGAGAGAGCCUCUCCAAAGGUGGUAGUCCCCAUGAAUCCUCUCUGAGCAUAGGACAUUGGAAGAGCCCAACUUCUGGUUUAGACUAAAGGCCUAUGUAGUUCAGCAUCAUGUUCUCACAGCAGCCAACCAGAUGCCUCAAUAUGUAGUGGAAGAAGGAUCUGAGUAUAAGACCCCCCCCCACUCUUGGUCCCCCCAUUUUGCCUCUGGAACUGGAGGCACUACAUAGCCAUCACAACGAAUGUGGCCUAUUUUGGAGGUAGGAUUCCUGGCUCCAGGCUCUUACUAAUAAAAUGACUUAAAAGGUGAGUGUUGAGAGUUGUGAAGCAAUUUUUGAUUGCAUGAUCAUUCACAGCUGAAGUUUUCUUUUGCAUGAUGGGAAAGAGGAAGCAAAGGACUAAUGUUAAGGGAAGGGUUUGGAACAGUGCAUAUACCAAAUGCAUAUACCGUAUUGGCCCGAAUAUAAGCUGCACCUGAAUAUAAACCGCACCUUUAAAAUUCAAGGGGGGGGGGGGACAGAAAAAAAGACAAUAACAGAGUAUAAGCCACUCCCUUAAAAUUCCGCAGGCAGUCACUCCUAUUCUGUUUCACCGUAUGUCUGUUUCAGCAGCAAUAUCGUAAAAGCCAAUUUUUGUACGGUCACGAAUUUAAGCCGCAUUUUAACUUUUCACAGUCGAAAUUUUUUUUGGGGGGGCAGGGAAGUGUGGCUUAUAUUCAGGCUAUUGUGGUAAUGUUGCUGUAUUUUACGUAACAAUCCUGAUUAUGGCAUGUCUCUGUGUUGGUCAGAUGGGGCCACAUUCUGCCACGGAAGUAGCUGUCUGUGGCCAAAGCUGAGCUCAGUAAUAACACACUGCUUCUUUCCAGUAAUUUUUGCUAAGCAAGUUUGGGAAGUGAUUUUAGGUCAGAAAAUGAUAAUCAGGAAUUUUCUCUUGGUUUAAAAACAGAAUUGCAGUGAAAAAUAAAUAACCCUAUGAAGGACAACCUUGGCAUAGCUGUCAACUUUUCCCUUUUCUUGCGAGGAAUCCUAUUCGGAAUAAGGGAAUUUCCCUUAAAGAAAGGGAAACGUUGACAGCUAUGAACCUUGGUUGGGAUGUUCAGUGAUAUGUAGCAUAAAGAUGGUACGACAGGUUGUGUGGGGUGGUUUUUAAAGGUUCACAGUUUGGUCCCUGGCAGUGAUAACUGACAGCAAAAUUGGCACUUGCUCUGGCAGUAAAUUGUUGGGUGUCACUUGAGCAGGUAAUAGUAGCAAUUGGGUAGCGAGAGUUCCGUGGAGCGGGCAGGUAUCUGAGCCCCUCUGUCUAUGCACAUUCCUGUUUUACUAUGAUCUGGGAAACAGGCUAGGAUUUGGGGGUCAGUCUUGCCUUGCCUUGCCACUGAUGGAGGCUGCAAGUGGACACUAGUGGUGGAUAAAUAAAAACCAGAGAACGAGGAGAGUGUGCAUAUUGGACAUCAAAGGUGACCAUAAAUAUGAAAGAAACCAGAGAUAAAAAGGAUUGUACAGCCAAAUCAGUCCAUGGAGACAUUGCAUAUUUAUGGAGAGGUCUGUCGGAAUAAGGGGCAUUUACAAAUGGGUUCAGGAGGAUAAUGUGUAUUGAAAUAUGAGUCCAGGGGGAUGGUAUGCAUUCAAAAACCUAUCUACUGUAUAUAGCAUAAUAAUCCCUGUAUUUCAUAAACUCAUAGGAAAGUAUUAAAUAAAAAUAAAUUUCAAAUGUCUGUGGCCUCAUUGCAAAUCAUUUUGGAGAAGGGAUGAGAAAUGUGGAAACCAUUUUGCGUUAAACAAUGCCAGAAAACAAAAUUAUAAUUGUAUAAAAAGCAAAUGUCAACUCCAGUUAUUGCAGCGGCUGUGUUGUUUCCAAUAACAAUUUGGCAUUUUAUUUAGUCUGCAGCAAUCUACAAUUUAAAUGUAAAAUAAAGAUUUUUCUUUUAUUUCCCUCUGAGGUUGAGUGCCAAGCAAAGCAAAAGAGAGCAGGACAUCUGUAGAUGAUUAAAACAGGCCCCGAAUACAAAGUAAACAUGGAUUUUAUCCAUAGUCAACAGCAUUUACAAAUGUAAAGGGAGGAAGCUACCGAGUUUUUGAAGAAUGAGCUGCUAGAGAGGAAAUAUAAGUAUGGAGCAGGCAGCAGAUGGCGAUAAUUAGUUCCAUCUUGUGGAAGGCUUCGAUUAAAAAGCAGGAGGGCAGGGGUGGGAGCCUGGGGUUUGGUGCUGUUUCAUUAAGACAGCCCUUGUGGGCUCCCAGGCCAGCAGCCCUUCCUAAGGGCACCCCUGGGAGUGAACCAGUGUGUGUGCAGGGGGUGGCAGAUUUCAUCUGGAUAUGGUAAGGUGUGUGGCACAGAAGCCUGCCCUCCAAGGGAAGAGAGGAUGGGCCUGGUUGCUGGACCCCCUCUCACACCAAGAGAACUGAAAAGCCCAAAGCCUCUUAGGCUUUUCUUUCGUGUGAAGACACCACACCAGCCAUUGGCCUCUUGGGCUCUGCAAAACUGUCCUUAUUUUGCAGGAGACAUUCAGUCACAUUCUGGAAGUUUAGAUCUGCACACUUCUAGUACAGUGGUACCUCUGGUUAAGAACUUAAUUUGUUCCGGAGGCCCAUUCUUAACCUGAAAUUGUUCUUAACCUGAAGCACCACUUUAUCUAAUGGGGCCUCCCGCUGCCGCCGCACCGCAGCCACACGAUUUCUGUUCUUAUCCUGAAGCAAAGUUCUUAACCCAAGGUACUAUUUCUGGGUUAGCGGAAUCUGUAACCUGAAGCAUAUGUAACCUGAAGCGUCUGUAACCCAAGGUACCACUGUAGAUUGAAGUGCACAACAGAUCCCCCCUCCUUUUUUUGUGGUUAGGAAAGUUGCAGGAGAAAUGUACUGAGAUUUGUGGGAUGAAUGAAUGGAACAACUCUUGGGUUGGGGCAACUGGCUAAAAUGUUUUAAAAGGUUCUAAUUUUGGUUCCUCUGUUUUGUUUUUGUUGGGUUGGUGGUUAAAUGUUUAGUUGGGGUUGGCGGUUAUUUCAAUUUGGGUAUAACUGUAAACUUUUUAUUCUUAUUGUUGUUGCUGUUGUCGUUAUUAUUGAUUUCUAAUGAUUUCUUGGUUUGUUUGUUGCUUGUAUAGGGUACUUUGUUUUUUAAUGUUUGAUGUUUUGUUGUGCUUUUAUAUAUGUUGUAAACCGCCCAGAGCAGCUGGGGAAACCCAGCCAGAUGGGCGGGAUAUAUAUAUAUAUAUUUUAAAAAAUCACAGAAGGAGGUGUAAAAACUCUUCAAGUGCAUCAGGAUGAAUGCAAUAAUAUCUUCGUUGUAUAACCACCCCAUAAACAUAUCAGAAGAAAUGUUCAAACCAUUACGUCAGCUUUGCGCCACCAAAUCAGGAUGAAUGCUGAAGAAACAGGCUGUCCAGAAGAGCCUGUUCUCUGUGGCAUUGCAGAAGUUCUGCCCGCAUCUUCAGUGGUAAAAGUUUGGUGCUGUUGUUUCAGUGCAGUGAAGUCCGAGGCCUUUGGUGGGUCAACAGAGUGCUGCAGUAGAAGCCAGCUUUGUGCUCAUCUCCUUCAAAAGUGAUUUGUACUGUGGAAGGCUUGGGAGCGUCUGCGAAUCCAUUAGCCAGUAAUUUGCUCUAAGUCUCCUCCUCUCCUGUGGUGUCUUAGAGACUGAAACUCUUUGAGUGUGGCCUGAACUUCCAUAGCCAAGAGCAUCAGAUGCAGAAAUAACAUUGUUUAUUUUUAUGACAGAUUUUUUUAAAAAUCUGAUUCUGCAUCUGGAUUUUGAAACAGGAUAUUUGUAUGUGAAAAAAAAGGAGAAGAAACUCAUUAAAACAGGGCAUUACAAUGUAGUAUUAUUAUUAUUAGAACAGCAAAUGUGCUUGGAGAGAGAUGGAAUGUGGGAAAUGAGAGAACUUCUAACUAAUUUGGGACUCAGAGGCGUUUGGCUUGUGGCCUUGGAAAAAACAGUCCCACAGCUGUUAAAAGAGAGAAGGCACAAUUUAGGGGAUGAGGCUCCAGCAAGAAGGUCUGCUGAGGUGAAGAGCCUCUCUUGCCUGUGCCGGCAGCUGCUGCUGCUUUGUGGCUCUUCCAAAAACUUCAGGCUCUGGCAGGCUGAGGCCGCUUGCUCUGGCUGGUGGUGUCUGUACCAGCUCUGCCAUUAAGUGCCUCUGGAAUUCAAACAAGGAGUCAGCGUCUCCUCCUGGCCCAAUUUCCCCUCUUUACAUUUUGGAAUCAAAGCAUCUGGCAACCCUGUCAAAUAUACCUGUACGCACUUUGCAGUUCAUUUGGGCCACAUUCUAACAAUUCUCACCAUCUCCAGUGUGGUUUAAGAGUCAAUCCCUCUCCACAGGGAACUCUGGGAAUUGUAGCUCUGUGAGGGGGAAAAGGGGUCUCUCACAGCACUCAGUACCCUUAAGAAACUACAACUCCCAUAAUUCUUUGGGGGAAGCCAGAACUGUUUAAAGUGGAAUUGUGGUGCUUUAAAUGUAUGGUGUGGAUGCGGCCUUCAUUUGCUUACAUUUCAGUGCUCCUGAAUUGCAAAGCCUCCAUCUACCCCCAGGUGUUGAAGAUAUCAAGACUCUGUUGAUGUAUGAAAAGCAAGAUAACCUGUUAAUCAGUUAGCUGUUGUUCUAACCUAAAACUAUGGAGAAUGAAGCAGGAUUAAAGCCCAUGCAUGUAAACCUAUAAACCCCCUCAUUCCCCACCUCCUGAUACUGCACUGAAUCAGGCUAGUGAGAGUUGGAUUUGCAAAGCCAGAGAGAGAGAGAGAGAGACUUGCAGAGCAGCAGCUGUUGAGAAGUCUUCCUGACAUAUGGAUUUUACACAUCAGGCUGUUGUAUGACACUCACCAAAGCAAUCUAUGUAAGUGAAAGCUAAAUUAUUUCCAAAGAGAAUAUUGGCAUUUCAGAUCAGCAUCUUUCCCCUGGGCCCAGCAGGUACUCAUUAUUAGCUAAUUAAUUUAUUGUCCAAAGCCUGCGCAGGUCUCAAACUAAGGAGACACCAGCGAACGCUGCUGCACAUUGGUCCAGCAGGAGAUUAUGAAGGCUGUUUGGUUUCUUGCCUCACGCUAUCCAACUGUGGGGUGUGGAAGAACAAGUUAGAUGUGUGCUGCUUUGUUGCAGGUAAAGGCAUAGAAGCCCAUGGAUCUGAUUAAUAUGGGUGGGUGUGUCAUUAUUGCCCCCCUCACUAGAACGACUGCCUUUGUCUUCUCUAGAUUAGUUAGGUUAGACCUAGAAACUUUUCUUUUGUUAUAAGACGUGUUACGUACUUCCUACAAUAAACUACUUUGAUAUUUUUCUAACUCUACAAGCAUCUCUGUGUGUGUGAUUGAAACAGGUGAAGUCUACCCUCUACCCAGACUCACAAUCCUUGUGCUGCACAUUUUAUGUACCAAAGGGUGUCAAUAAGUAACUGGACCCAGUUUCCAGUAGCAAAACUGCUUAGAAUGGGUUGUGAAAACAUAUAAUGGGACAAAGCUGAAGAAUAAAAUAUUUAAUCCCAAGCCUUGACCAAGGAAGUGAGCUCAGUUAUGAAGGUGUCUGGCUGGAAGCCAUUUUCUUCCAGGAGAGCCGUAGGAGGGCAUUGCAGAAGCAAGAUCUAAUCUGGGUCAUAGUGAACUUGCCUUGUGCUGGUGGCCUUUCCUCUGAGGACGAGCUGCAGCCAUAGACUGACAGCCAGAGAGCUUGCACAGGGGGCUUGUCUCAUGAAUUUGCAUUUGACCCACACUCAUUUUAACACUCACAUCAGCUUCUCUUCCUUGCAGCUUUUCACCUUCAUGCCUUUUUAAUGUGUAGGGGUCUUAAAUAUUUUGUAUUUCACAUUCCCUCUCUGUAGCUUGGCAGAACACUCUGUCUGGAAUAGCAGAGUUAACAACUUCCUCUUCUGCACUGAUGGAGGAUUCUGAUCUCCCUUCCCUGCCUCCAAAGAGGAAUGUUUUUGUGAAUCUCAGGCACAGAUGCUGUCCAGCGCUACCCCCACCAUGCCCCCCCACCCCCAACCCAAUGCAGUCAAAGUAUUUGCAGGAAAGUGUCUGCAGGAGCAAACAUGCCUGGCAGCUGGGAAAACAGAGGCUGACUUGCAAGGAAGUUUCUGUUUGACUUGAUCUGUCAUAAACAAUGAGAAUGCAAAAGUAAAUCUCCACAUCUGGCAGCCUGAAUGGGGGAUCCGGCGGCGUGCGAUGUCUGGUGUGCAUGAAGCCCAGUCUUCCUUAGCCAUUGGGAUUGCCCUGGUGGCGCUCUGAUAUUAAAAGAGGCUUUCCUUUGAUUGCUAGCCAGCUCCGGAGUCUUGCCCUCUUCCUUGCCCCCUCCAGGUAAAUGACUUUACCAUCCUGAAAGGCUCCUGCAGCUUUGUGGCAAUGGGAGCCUCCUUGUGCCUAUAAAUGCAAAAACCGCCCCCCGCCCAGGUGGAGAAUGUUGGGAAAUAUUCCCAGCUGCCCCAAAGCCGUGGCCAGCAUGUGCAGCCUAUUACGUUUGUUGUUUUAAGAUAUCUUUAUAAUAAACAGAGAGAGAUUCUCAGUAGCAGCAGCAGCAGGGUGUAAUUGGAGCCAGGGACUGGCUAUGAGCAUGCACUUGUAUACCCGGCAAGCACAUGAUGGCUGCACAUUUCCCUGGGACUCACCUGUGAAUGGAGGGUGAUCUCUGACUCUUUGGUCAGGGGAGGGGGCUGACCUCUUGUCUUCUGCAACAGAGGCUAGAAUCUGCCUCUCCUCCCCAUCUGGAUUGAUUAUUGUGUGGUGUCCAGCCAGCAGCAGGCAUGCUGUGGGUUUGGGCCUCGCUGCUAUGCACUUGUACAUAAACAGGUACAGUAUUACAAAAGCUAGAAAACGCAGGCCCUAUAGUAGCAUCGGCCAAACCUCUCAGGGAAGAGUGAAAUAGCAUCUUCUAGAUGUCUCCAUACAGCCAAGCAAUUUCUGGGGCCAAUGCCAGACAAAGGGGUCUCAAAGUUCAGUGGAGCCCUUUACAGCACCAAAACUCAGCACCCUUUUCACACUCCAUUCUAAAUAACAGUUGUGGCGUCCCCUGUGGUUGUGCUCCCCUAAAUCCACCUCUGCUGGGGCUUCAGUGCUCUGAAGUCAGUUUGGGCCUUGGUAUUAAAUCCUGAAUUUCUGCACCUGCCACUGUAGCAUGAAAACCCAUUUCAGACAUCAGCUUUAGAAAGAUCCAUGAGCACGUGCAGAAAGCUUUUGCCUUUCAAGUCAGGGAUGUGCUGUUCCACAAUUCUCCUUGCAGUAGGGUUUGGAGAAUAGCCUGAGAGAUUAGGUCUUUGAUGUUUAGCCCACAAACUACUGCAGCAGGGCCACUGAAGGAUAUUACUCAUGUACCAUGUACCAGAAAUGGGCUUCUUUGAGAUUUUGGAAACUUUCCUUCCCUAAACACCGCUUUGCUAAUCACACCCAGACCAACACUGCUUGCUUCAAGUGAUAGAAAUGACACCAUCUCCUUCCUUCCAGCUCCAGAUACCAUGGGGCCUAGCCGGCUGUGCCCUGUUUGUUUAUUUACUGAAUUUAUAUCCUGCCCUUCCUCCCAAAGGAGACCAGGGCAGCAAACUGAUGUGCCAUUUAAAACAAAAAUAAAUAUUCUGGAACAGAUUAAAACAUUCUAAACAUGAUUACAAUUAGAAACAUCUAAAAUCAGUUACAGUUAAAAAACAAAAAGCAGUGAAAAACAUUCUUCCAUCCAAUGAUACUGUUGUUGAUAGCUUACAACUUUGCAGUUGGUCACUGCCUCCUCAUACAUGACAGGAUUUCAGCUGCCUCAGUGCUUAAAUUGCAGGGUGGCUGAGUGGGUAUAAUUUGACUAAAGUGUAUGUAGGAAGUAGGGGGUGAGUCUUGUGGUCUUAAUAAAAGGCCUCCUGCUUUUUUACCCCUUCAUUUGAGUUGCCUCUCAGUGGAAAUUCUUGGGCGUCUUUCUGACUGUUUCCUGACUGAGGCACAUUUUGGGAUUCCCACCUUACCAUUCACUUUUCCCUACUACUGCUACUACUUCCUAGGACAGAGACACAGACAGAAGCUGCUUUGCUCAUAUGGUUUAGGCUCCAUUAUGCAUUCCCUUCUUCCCCCCAUAUAUUUAUGUUCUGCCCCCCCCCCGGCUGCUGUCCAAUGAAUCCCUUGUUCUCCAGCAGCUUGGCAGGGGGAUUAUUGUGGGUGGGACACAACUGCUGCUGUCUCAGGAUGCUCAGGAUUGCCUGACUGGGCAAUCUCUCCAGUGAGGUCUGUGUGGUGGAAACAGAAAGUACCCAGGGGAUAGGAAUCGAGGUUUGGAAGAAAGGUGGAAGAAGAAAGGCCUCUUGCCAGGUCAUACUGCUGUGAGGUGGGUGUGGGUGUCCUGCUAACACUCAAUGCCUGCCCAUGAUUGGUUCACACAUAACUUUGGUCCACAUGAACAGCACCUACUGGAUUGUGCUUCCAUGAAUGACAUACGUUAUGGAGUGUACGAAUUAGCCCCAAAGCUUAAAACACUUGAGGGGGCUUCUGUGACCCUUUAAUGCUUUUAAACUUUUCUUUCAGACAUGGGGAACUGCCUUUGAUUACCUCGGACUGGUUUUCUUAGCGGAGGCCAGUGACUCUCCCAGUUAUUGUGUUUGAAUAUUGCCAUUCACAUUGGGAUCUUAGAGUGAAGGGUGGGGGAUUAAUAACAAGAACAACUCCCAUCAAUCUUAGGCAGCGUGGCCAGUCAUCAGGGAUGAUGAGAGUUGUAGUCCAGGAGGUCUGGAGGGCAUUUGGUUGGAAGACUGCGCUAGGGCCUCCACUAAUUGGCAGUAGCUCUCCGGAGGGUCUUUCCCAUCAACAGUUGUCUGAUCUUCAGCAGUGGCACCUUCCCGUUUGGCAUUUAUGAACUAUAGUGAUGUAGUUCAUUGCAUUCCGCAGAGUCAUUUUUAACAUUCAGCAGAGUAGUCUUCAGAUAUUGGGCUACAACUCCCAUUAUCCUCUGUCCAAGAUGGCUUUAUGAUGCUGAGGAUGAUGGGAACUGUACUCCAAAGCAUCCAGAAGGCAUCAGGUUGUGGAGUCUGCUGCAGAGUAUAGGAUGGCACUGUCCGCCAUAUUCUUUUUGUUCCUGUGGUCUUCUUCCACUCACAGCUUCAACAGAGUGGUUCUGGGAUGGCCAGACAUGGUGAGGAGGACAUGCUGUUGUUUCUGCUCUUGCUGACUUUCUAGUUUCCAGUAACGGUGCUCAGGAUUAAUAUUCCAUAAAGCAGGCCUGAUGUCAAAAAGCGAAGCACACACACACCCUUCAUGACACAGUCAUGAUUAAAUUCUUUUCCUGUGCUCCAGGAUGGGCACUUUGAUCUAAAGUCCUGCCAUUUUUCUGGCGGGGACUUGCGUGCUUUGCGAUAAUGCGCAGCACUCUUUCCCUUAUUCCUGUAGGGAACAUAAACCCCACAUUAGUUCCAUAUUAGUACCUGACUUGGAGAUGUUAAAAAGCGCCAGAAAAAGGUUAACUAGAGUCAAGUACACAUAAGAGAGCCGUGCUUAUUAGUGUUUUGGGAGCCGUUUGGAAAAAAAGCAUUUUGUGCUUUUUACAGAAUAAUUUAUUGGUGUCUCUGCUUCUGCCUGCAUUUUGCAUUUUAAUAAAGCCGCAGCAGCUGUGCAAAGGUGUGGUCAGCAGUUGUGGUUGCGCCCAAGGCAUAAGGAUGCCCACCUGGCGAUGCCACUGCACCCUCCCCUUCCAGCCAUUUCCAGCUCCACAAACUUGGUGGCUACAGCAAGACCAAAGAGAGAGGCCUGGUCUGGAGAAGCAGCAGCACCUUCUUCAAAGUGGUGACAUUGGGCCCAGCCUGCCUCGGUAUCCCCUCUAGGGCCAAUUUAAUUCAAAGUAACCUAAAGAGAAGUGGACAUUGUCAGCAAGCUUUUGGACAAAUCCAUCACCUUUCUGUGCUAGGAAUCUCUCAGCACAUUCAGACUUCCGUGGGUUCAGCAGGCAGCCACAGCCAACAGCCCCCACCCCAACAUACGCUCAGACUUGCCACCUUUCAUUCAACUCAGGCACCUAGAUAGCUGCGUGUUACAUCACUUGGAUUUCAUCCCAUUAGGUGACUUGGAAAUGAAAGAUAUUUGGGCAGUGUGCCAUCCAUGCUUGCAAAUGGGAGCAUGACUAGCCUAGUAGUGUAGCUGGCAUCUCAGCUGCCAGCCUUGUGGCCCCAUGCUGCAUGCAACUGUUCUGUCUUUUGAGCAUUUGCUUUCAAAAUGUAUAUGGACACCUUAUGAAUCCCCAGGUUUUUUGACUUAACUGAGAUGCUUUAUUAUCGCUAGGUGUUUAAUUAUUUUGGACGCAAAAUGUGUGCUGAGUAAAAACUGAAAGGAGUGGCUUUCUUUUCUUACCUGCAUGGUUCGGGGUGAGGGAGAGGAGGGAAUACUGUACAAAGACAUGGCUCACCUGGGUGCUGUGCAAAGCUGAGUGGAAUUGUUUUCUCCCCGGACUGCUGCAGAAACUGGUUCCUGGCCAAACAGCGCCUUGCAUCUGCAACAGGAAUCUUCUCCUGAAUAGCCCGUUUAGCUACCCAUGUCAGAAGCUGUUGCAAAGCAGAACUUUGGCACCAAACUCAAAAUUCUGAACAAAAGGAAAUGCUAAUUUAUUUCUACACAUGAUACAUUUAUGCCCAUACAUGAUAAUUGGUAUCUGACCUAUUAUGGAUAAUGUAAGCCAAUACAGUAGAUUUCAGUAGGCCUGCUCUGGGUAUAAGUCAGUAUCCAAUUACCAAUAUUUUAAAAGGAGAUGUGACUUUGCUGCCUGGUCCCUGGCUUUGGUUCCUCUGCUACACUUUCCUUGGUUGAGCUGAAACUCCCUUUGGGGUCUUCUUGCCUUGAGUGAGUCAGGGGUAUCAUCCAGGGAGACUUUCAGCUGCGUGUUGGGGCAGUUUCUGGUGAGUGAAAAGAUAAUAUUGCUUUAGCAUCUGGAGAAACAGGAGUUAAAGCAAAGUUGUUCUUUUGCUCUUGUUUCUUUUUGAACUCUGCUUGCCUUACGAAUCACACUGAGGUUAAAGCGUGCAAUGGAUUUAUUAAACCAACACAACUGAGCACACCCCGAAGGCUCUGAUCCACUGAUGACACAGAUGGCUUUGCAUGGAGAUUGCAAACAUUCCUCUGGAAUGAGGACAUAACCACCAAAAUCCACUUUGUGCAGGAAUAACUCAUUUUAAUUCCUUUAUAAUGAAGCUGACAGAGGAAUCUGCUCAGCUGGGGAGCAUGCCAGGAAAGUGCCCCUGCUUCUGAGAAAGAAGUCCUGUGGCCCCUGGCCAGCUUCUUGGCAAAUUCUGGAUCCAGUUAUUCAUGAUGGUGAUCUAGAAAAAGGUGCCGGUCCAAAUGUUAGCUCGACCAAGGGCACACUGGGUGGUUUUGAUGUAGAGUUUAAGAGUAUGGUGCAGAAAGGCAUCUUUUUCACACAGAGCGCAGGCCAUUUGCCUCAUUAUUAUCUCUGGUCAAACAGGCGUUGUAGGAUUUUAAAACACUAUAAAACCCACAAAGCCCGGUUGGACCAGAUACUCUGCCCAUCUUCCAUAUUUUAGAUUGCUGUUGUUCAUUUAAUUAGCGCAAUGUUUUGUUUUUUACAAUGUACUUUUGAUUUUUGUAUUUUCUUAAUGUUUUGAAGCUGCUGUAAGGGUACAAAUGACAAAUUGACUGAUUGAGUAAUGAGGGCUGAAGAGGAUGCAAACAAGUGUGCCAACCUUGUGUGAUGACUCUCACAGCCCACUUGCAACACUGUGACCAAAAUAUCCUCUGUGCCUGCCCAGCCUUUGAGUCUUCAUGCUACCUGAAUGACUUGAAAAUAUUUCUACCUGUGUGCAUUUGGGUUAGUGCUCUUUCUUGGCCUGUCUUUUGUUAAAGCACUCUCCCUACUCCUACCCUAAGCAAAUGUUAACAUUGAGGGCUCUCCAGGAUGAAGGUGAAAGAAUUCCCCCCUUUUCUUUUUUCUUCACCCCACUAGACAUUGUUUUGACUUUAAGCAAUGACUGUUGGGUUGCUGAAGGGUUUCCUCAUUUUUUGCAUGUAGUUAUUGUGUAAAGUCAGGGGUUGUGGGAGGAGCGGAGGAUCCUUAAGAAAGAACAGAAAGAAGUUGCUAAUAAUUCUUUUUUAGGAUCCAUCUCCCGCCCUGGGUAUGGCAUAUGCCCUUGCUGAAAGGCAAGGCUGUCUGAAGGAAUCAAUGCUUCAGUCCGCACAAAUGGCCAAAAAGAGUUGAGCUCCAGUGUCAGCAGGUGGGAUCACCCCUCACUUCUGCCUUAGGUAACCCUAUAAAGGGUUGGCAGCUGCCCCAGCAGUUGUGAACCUGCUUUCCACAGUUGUGUUCAUCAGUGUGCAUAAGUAGCAUGACUAGGGAGAGGUCAGGAUAGCAGCUCAGGAGCUGGCCAGGAAAUACUGAACAUAACAUACAAGUCUCUCUCUCUCCCCCCCAAUUCUUUCUAUUGUGUAUUCAUGAUUAUUUGUGUCUAUGAUGUGAUGAACCUGAAAUGGGAUGACUCUCACUCGGUCCUUUGCUGAUUGUGCAGCGCAGGGGAAACCAUCUUUCAGGCAUUAUUGGCAUCUAAAUUCCCUGGCAUCUGAUGCUGAAAUCAGUACAUGAUCCAAUCUAACGUUAAAGCAUGGUUUGUCAACUUUAUUUUCUGGGGUUGUGGCCUGAGAGUGUAAAAUUGGAAUUAUUUUUUUAUUUACCUGUAAUUUGAGAUGUUAUUGAAAACUGGACAGCUAAUUUACCGGUAUUUUCUGGAUAUGUUGCCUUAUGUAGGAAAAGUGAUCACACCUCAGCUCUUCCUUACCCACAUUUUUCUUUUUCUUUCUUUAGAUAGAUAGAUUCGAACUUACAAAAUGGGAACACUGACUCUGCAUGGCCAGUCCUGGGGCAAGGAAUUGUCCCUCCCUCGCCCCCCCCCCCACUUAUGCAUAUUGUUCAGGGGUUAUUUAUAAUAGACAAUGUGAGGGGGGGGGAGAUUGUUUUGUGAAAUGAAUUGGAAGAUGGCAUAAUUAGACGCUGGACAUUUGUAUUCUCACAUUAUCACUCCGUAGCUGCAAAACUGGAAGUAAUUUAUUUCAUCCUGGUAAUGCGCCUUCUUUCUGGUCCAACAAUUUAUCAGAAAUGUUAAUCCAGCGGGCAGUAAGUAUGAAGUGGGGUAGGGUGUGCAAGACAGAGAGAGAGAGAGAGAGAGAGAGAAGGGAUUUAAAAUUAGCUUGGAAAUAUUGCACAACUCAUUAAAAAUGUAAUCAUGCGUAAAAUGAGAUCAAUGAAAAUUUAUCUAAAAGUGCAAAGAGAAGGCAUUUUCUAGUAUGAUCCUGGAUUUAAUAGACUGGAUUUUAAUUUAGUCGGUUUGCAACCAAAAUCCCUCCAGGCUAAAUAAAACAGCUUCCCCUCCCAGUUAUUGUACAGACAGCUAAUUUUCUGCACCCUUCCUUCUAAUAUUCAAUCUUAUCUCUCACUGGAUAGAGGUUUCAAUAUAUUGCAAAAUUUGUUUUCUUUACAUUUUCCAUUACAGCUUUUCAUUUGCAUGAUAAAUGAUCAGAGGUAGAAGCAGGAUAAAACCAAGCCAAGCUCUUCUUUUAUUAAUUUGGGCAGAAUAAAGGUAACUUCUCAACCCCGCCCCCCACUUCCCUGCCUUGGAACGAAAUCAUGUUCAUAUAUGGAAAUUAUUAGGCGCUAUAUGUCACUUGCUGUGCUCUUACAACAGACGGGCUUUGCCUACUGACUGAGCAUGAGGUGCUGAUUCCCCUUUAGAGCUUUAAAAGGGUGAUAUUAUUUUACUUUCCACUCCCUGCAUUCAAAGAAUUACUAAGGAGUCGGCUAUCAUUUGCCUUAAAAGCGAGUAUCAGAGUUGUCCCAGCAUUUAUGGUAUUCAGAAUUGAUUUCAUUUAUUCUUCUGUAAAAAUUUAUAUGCUGUAUUUUACCAUAAUUCAACCGCAGACUGAGUCACAACAUAUAAAACUAUGCAAAAACAACCACAAAGUAUUUGAAACAUCUAAGAUUCACAAUCCAUUUUUGCAUGCAACAUCCCUUCAUCUGUCAUCCCGCUCAGUACAUAAGCCAAUGCUGAAGAUUCAGAAGUCAGACUGUUUUCACCUGGUGCCAAAAACUAACCUCGGGGGGGAAGAGAAUUCCACAGCUGGGUGCCAUCACUGAGAAGACCCUAUUAUGAGCCCAGGCUUCUUUGGAGGGCAACGGUACUACUACCAAAAAGGGCCUCUUUGGCAGAUCUCAAAUCAUGCAUAGGUUGGUGCAGGGAAAGGUAUUCCGUCAUAUGGCUGUCUCUUAAGCUGUCUAGGGCUUUAUAUGUCAGAACUGACACCUCAGAUUCAGAAGUUGCUCCUAGGUGGUGCAGAGCCACCACAGGACCUUCUUGGUUGCUUACAGGGAGAGGUGGGGGGAAGGGCAAGGUGGUGGGAUGGUUGGAAUGGUGCAGGUGUCUUGGUGGAGCAUUUCAUCAUCAUCAUCAUCAUCAUCAUCAUCAUCAAACCUUUAUUGGCAUCACAUACAAACAUUCAGAAUAAAUAGGCCAGGGAGAUCUCGUCGCCAUUUCAACAGUACAGUCAUUUGCCAAAGGGAAGAAGAGGCGAGUAAUCUAUUUCACCUCUGUGGGUCUCCAGCAAGGGCAGGAUCCUGUAGUGUACUUCGGCGACAAAAAAUCAAAUAGAGGAACUUAGCUACUGUCUUGGUGAGCUCCUGGUCUCUCCCCUGUAAUAAGAAGCGUGUAACCUCUGUCUCUGGUUUCCAUGUUGGAAUACAUAGAUGGUCUAGAAAUGGUUGGCGGAGAUCAUCAUACAUUUUACAUUUAAGGGCCAUGUGAGCUAGAGUUUGGUGGAGCAUUUGCACCACACCAACCUUCCUGUCACAUCUCCCCUCCUAGUGAGCACAGGCCAACUAACUAGCAUAGGGGCUCCACCCUGAUUGGCCUGUGCCUUCUGAAUGAAUUCAAAUCAGUAGCAGAUAGACAGCUCAUCGCCACACACCCCAGCCCCCUGGCAGAUCCAAACCAUUCAUUUAAAGCACAUGACUUCCCCCAAAGAAUCCUGGGAGCUGCUGCUUCCCCCUCACAGUUACAAUUCCCAGUAUCCAUACCAAACUACAAUUCCCAGGAUUCUUUAGGGGAAGGGGAUGUCAUGUGCUUUUGAUGUAUGGUGUGACUCUGCCCCCACCGCACUCUUGAAACUGUAUUACGGCUGGUUUCUAUGGGACCCUGUCUUCACCAACACCCCCAUUGUUGGGGCAGUCAGUGCAGGAUGAGGCCUUGAGCAGGAAGAACGGUCAAGGGUAGAGCAGCCAAGUUGUUGUUGUUGUCCGUACUUUGCCUGUGCAUGGUAAGUGCCUGGCUUUCUCCCCCCACCCCCCAGGGCCAAGACCCCCAAGCCAUGCAAGGAAAGUGAUACAGGCCCACUGCGGCUGACCCUCGCCCACCUGCCAGACCUGCUGCUGCUCCUGGAAGGACCCAAGGUCCUCCUCCCAGGGAAUCUGAUCCAUGGGAAAAUCCUAAGCUCCUUGAAGUCCAUGCUGCUCUUUGGCUGGGGAGCAAGCCGGCCUCUCGGUUUCAGCUCCUUCUCUUUCUGCAUAUUUCUGAUUCUCCUUAUAAAUUAUGUAAGCUGCUGUGUUCAAAUGAAAACAGAUACGGAGAAGGAAUUAGGAAGCAUAGCUGGAUGUUGACGAAGAACACAUCUAAGAAGGUGAAAGAUUUUGUCCGUCAACUGGAACCAGCCCUCGUGUGGAGAGACAGCCACUCGUUGGGCCGCGAGCCUCCCUUGCAGGAAACAGCUGCUUGCUGAGGGGCCAAGAACAAAGGCUCUUUAUCUGGACCCAUGGCUUCAAAAUGGCUCUGGAAACAACACAAAAUCUGUCUGCCACCACCAGCUCUGGCUGCGGCAAAAUUGGAAGCAAACACAUUUCUUGGUACCCCAGUCAGACUGGUUCAAGAGUGGCAAAAGGUAGGAUUCUCACCAACCUACACACCUUUCAGUGCAUGGUUAUGUGUGAAAUAGGGAUCCAAAAGCAUGCAGAUAAAUGUGUAUACUGUUAGUUCCCGGGUCAAAGAGAAGUACCUGAAAAGGGACAUUAUUUUCUGAAGGAGCGAGUGGGAAGAGGAAGUCCGUGUGGGCCUGGAAGCCAAGGAGUAAGCCUGCCUCCCUGUCUGCUGCACUUAAAUAAAGUGUUUCCAGACUGAGUUUACCUGAAGUUCCCGGAGUCUGUUUUUAAGAAAGGCAGCCCUGCUGGGCAAGGAAACAUGGCGGCAGCUCAGUGGAUUCCUGACACCCACAGCUCUGGAGAAAGUAAAGUAAAAGUAUAAUAGCCAAAGAACUCGGGAUUGUUCCUGUCUGAGAGAGGACGUCCGUUGUCUGUAGUUGAGGAAAAUAGCAGCAACUUAUUUUUACUGUUCAGUCUCCAGAGCCAUUUACCUUUGCAGCCCCAGAGAAGUGGCCUAGAUCAGGUUGGGCAACUAUAGUUGAUUGGGAGGUCUUGCACAACAAACUCACUUCUUCCCUCAAAAAUCAGACUUUUUGCAAUAAGGAAAGUAUCAGAAAAGUUGGCUGUUGUCCUGAUCUAGCAGGCUGUUCUUAUAUUCCUAUGAUAGGAAAAUGUACUGGGACAUGUGAGGAAAACACUUGCUUGACGCAACAUUACCUAACCUCCCUGCAAACAAAUCAGGGUGAAUACUUGCCAGGAAGCACCCUGUUCUAGUGAGUCCUGCAUUGCAGGGGCUUGGACUAGAUGACCCUUGGGGUCACACUAGAGUUAUGUGAUUCUGUGAAGAAGUUUUCAGUGGGAGACCUGUUUCUCAGCUUCCCACCUUGAAAACAGGAAGAAAUAGUGUCAAACAGCCCCCUAUGAAUGUUGCAUAAAAUGAUUUGCACACUGCAAAGGACUGCAUGAAGAAGCAGCUGAUUUGAACCGUCCUGUGCAGGUGCUGAGCUAUCAAGAUUGGGCUUGUGCCACAGAGCAACAGAGAGGAUCUUGGUAUCUAAUCCGUGUUGCCAGUUCAUGGUAUUCCUGUAGCAGAUGCUUGAAAAAAGCAACACUCUCCCCCAUUAGCCUAUCUCACUUCCAAUCAUUGCAGCAGAGAGGUGAGGAAGGUAAAGAGGAAACUUUAACUUCUGGUUUCUGAUUCAUCACUUUUAUGGAACUUAAAUUCUUUUGUUUUAAUGCACACUUGAUUGAGGGAGCAUUUAUUGAAGUGGUUUAUGGUUUGUAGAAGGAGACAGCUGAAGAAAGAACAAAUGAAUCUAAUGUAAAUCAAAUAGUUAUAGCUUUUAUGGAAGCCACAAAGCCUUAAAUGUGUAUUCUUAAUGGUAAUUUUACAAAACUCCACCAGGCAGCUUCAAAUGGAGGUGACAGUUUGGAGAUGGGCUUCCUUUCACAUGCUAAUCACCUGCUCAUGGUGAUAUUUCUCUCCUUGGUUGCAGUCAGUGAAUUGAAUAAUUUAUGGAAUGAAUUUUGUUGUAAAUUUAUUGUGUCACAAGCAGGUUGUAAUUUCACUAACAGUAUACUUAAGUUAUUAAGUAAAAAAAUAAUAAUGUGGAUGAUAGGAUAACCCAUUUGCAGGGAUUUUUCCAGCAAGUUCUCAUCUUCUGUAUAUUUUCAAAACAGAGUAUUUGCCUAAUUUUUAUUCAGAACAUGAUCUGGAAAAAGGGAGAGGGCAUUAACAUAAAUGGGGUUGCAUUUGCUAAAUCUACGGCUGGAUCUGGUAGUCGUAAACAAAUUACCAAAGACUUUAUAUAGACAGAAAUAGCAUUAAACUGCAGAGCUCUGUUGUCAAGGCGCCUCGGUUUCCUAUUUGCUUCUGAAUAAUUGUCUUCAGUGAGGAAAAGAUGAAGUGUUGAAGUUGCCAGCGGAAGUGAUGCAGGGGGAGGAAAGGGGGCCUAAAAUGUAUUGAGGGGGAAAACACGCUUGCAGGUUGCCCCUUGGGGAAAUGCUCUCCUUCCGCAAGAGGAGGAUAAGAGCAAGAGCUACAAGAGCAUCCCUGGACCCCUCCAGAUAUCCUCUUCCUUAGGCAUUCAUGAUUAUCAUUGUGCUCAUGGUGGUAUUGGAGUGGCUACAUACACAAUCCUGUUUUCAAUCCUGUUUGUGCCUGCAAAGGUUUUGGGGAGCAGUGUGGACACACUGCCUCGUUUCCAAACUGUGCAUGUCUUAUAACUUCCUGCUGAAAUCCUGUACCUUUUCAUACAGCAAAUGUUGCAGGUCUGAUUGUUUUUGUCCCACUUUUGUGGCACUAUAGGGUUGCCAUAUACUGGAGAGCAAAAAAGACGACGCUAUGAUGGCCAUUCAAAGCCAAUGAAUGCAAUUUGCCCCAAAUAUUACCCUGAAAAAGAGAGUGUGUCCUGGAAAAAGAGGGCACAUGGCAACCCUAGAGGAGCGCCCCUCCAGUUGGCAGUGAUGCAUCAACACUGAGGAAGCAUUGCAGAAUAACUGGUAAACAGAAUGCUGUGGGGUCAGUCCAGUAUAAACCCUCCACUGUUGCAUCCAUGAAAUUCAAAGUGCUGGCUUUAACCUGUGAAGCCUUAAAUGGCCUAGGCAAGGCCUGCCUUUUACCCUGUGAACCUGACCAUUCACUCUUAUCUACAGGCAGGUGGUGACUAGGGACUGGGUCUUCUGUGCCUCUGAAACUCCAUUUCCCUAAGAUGCAGGGGCAGCGCCAAUGUUAGGAAGUCACAUCUGGCGUUGGAUGCUGUGGGCACACAGUGGCCAGAGGCAGAGGAAGGGGGGUACGGUCGGGGCGGGUCGCCCAGGUGUCACUGAGAGGGGUGACAAAAUGCCAGGUGGCAUUCACCACGGGGCCUGCAGUGCGCCUGAACCAUGUGUCUCUCCUGGGAGAGAUGCAGUGGUUUGGGCAUGUGCAGGCUCCACACUGCCCAAAUGGUCCGCCUGCUGCCUCCCCCCAGCUGUAGGGCAGCUGAGUGGGAGGAGGAAGGCAGACUCCGGAGGCCCCGCGGUGUGCCCGGCCCCUAUGGGUGGCUCGCUUUAUCCCAGGCGCCUGAGCGGUGUCCUCCGCCGCUGACAGUGGAGCGAGGACAUGGCUAUGGCUGUUCCCUAAGGUAGCUGGUUGCUUUCAGAUGCAGUAAAAGAUGCUGCCCCAUAGUGUUGAAGUGAGAUUCAACUUAGUGUGGGGGGACGGGGUUAUUGGGUUGUUUUUGUUCGUUUUUUAUUAUGCAUUUUGUGUUUUCCAUCUUGUAUUCUUAUGUUGUGAACCACCCUGACACCUACAGAUGAAUAGCAGAAUAAUAAUAAUAAUAAUAAUAAUAAUAAUAAUAAUAUUAAUAUUCCUGCUUGGCAGGGGGUUGGACUCGAUGGCCCUUGUGGUCUCUUCCAACUCUAUGAUUCUAUGAUUCGAAUAAUAAUAAUACUGUUGCAGAAUACACUUACAAAAAACAUCACCACCAACCAGUCUGGAGGGACCCACUGCUCCUCUGGGGGUCCUCAGGAGGCAUGUCCUCUCUCUUUUCCACCUUCCUCUCUGUUGGGGUGUGUGGUUCAGGAGGUCUUUUGCACUGGGGCCUGGAUCUCUCCCCCACUUCCCCCCUCAGUGCUGGUGACUGACUCUGAAGCUGCCCAGAGGCAUCUAUAUGUGUGAAUUAGCAUAUGAAAGUUUUAUGUAAUUUAGUGCUUGCGGCUCAAAUCCUUUAAAGCAAGUUCCUCUACAGACUGCUGACUGUGGCUGCAUAAGCCCUGAAGCAGGUGGAUCAGGCCAGAGGAUGAGCCCAGCCUGCUGUGAUUCCCAGCAAACUGUAUUCAGAGGAACACUCCCUCUGAACGUAGGGGCAGAACAUAGCCAUUGUGGCUGCUAGCGGUGGAUAGGAGGGCAGAGAUGGUUCACCCACAAAUGCUUUAUGGGUUAUGGCAUCCUUAAGGCUGCAGUUGCAUCUGCACGUGAACCUGAAGCAAUGUGAACGGUGCUGCACUCUAAAAGUGACGUGCACCCUCAUGCUGCCUAUGAAAUUAAAAACAAAACAUCAGACCCUGGCUUGAACAUCUGAGGGUUGGGACCCAGCCUGCUUCUCUUAUUUUUCUGAGGAGGGGAGGGUAUCCCAGCUAAAACAGAGUGGGGGGUUGUGCUUAUGAAACUGUGCUGGUCUGUUAGAGAUGGCAGCACUGUGCUGUAGCCAAAGGCAUCCAACAUAGAAAGUUAUCAUCAUUAGUGCCUUCCCCACUAGCCAUCUCAGCUACGUAGGCUGGCCCUACCCUGAGGCAAAGUGAGGCAGCUGCCUCGGGUGGCAGAUACUGGAGGUGGUGAAUGGACAGAGCUGUGCGUGUAUAUACCGUGCAGCAUAUCCUGCAUCCCCUAGCUCAGCUCAGGUACAGUGUGGGGGCACAGGGGUAGGCAACCUAAGUCCCAGGGGCCAGAUGCAGCCCAAUCGGCUUUUCAAUCCGGCCUGCGGAUGGUCCAGGAAUCAGCAUGUUUUUACAUGAGUAGAAUGUGUCCUUUUAUUUAAAAUGCAUCUCUUAUUUGUUGGGCAUAGGAAUUCAUUAAUUUUUUCCUCAAAAUAUAGUCUGGCCCACCACAUAGUCGGAGGGAAGGUGGACCGGCCCACGGCUGAAAAAGGUUGCUGACCCCUGGAUAUUGAAGUAAGAUUCCAUGGAAUGGACGGAGGCACCCUUUUGUCUUUUGCGUCAGGCAGCAAAAUGUCUUGGACCAGCCUUGCAUCUCAGGGAAGCCUCAAGGAGCCCCAAGGACAGUGUAUUCUCAGGUGGCCACCUGCCCAGCCAAUGACCAAGCUCCAAAUUUCCUUAACUUGAGACGGCCAAUGAGAUGAAGCCUCUGCAAACAUGGAUAUGGAUAUGGUGGUCUUCUCUGAAGUAGCUGGGCUGCCCCUUCACUUUCAUUUUCCUGUCACUCUCAUAAUUUAUUUAUCCCAGAAUGCACCAUAAAUCACUGAUAUCAUUGUUUGUGUUUGUUAUACCAUUAGCUUUAAAAAUUUAUAAAUCGCUGUGCAGGCAAAAACAAAAAACAAAACCCCAGAAAGAUCCUAAGAAUUAUUACUGCAGGAAAGGAGCAGAAAUCUUUACUCACUGCUGACCCAUUAGCAUUGCAAGUGUCUGCUGGACUCGCUGCAGGAGCAGCUGCCUGGUCAGGUGCGAAGGUGACGGAUGUGGCUCAGACUGAGAGCUCUCAGCUUGCUCCUGAAAGCUGCACAAUAUGUGGCGUUUUCCCCCUUUGCAAAACAGGAGGAAGAUGGUUCAUUCAUCUUUGCUGCUUGGAAUCUUGCUUUUCUGUGAAUCUCUGAAUCCAGAAUUUGGAUGGUGAUGGAGUGUUGUUUCUUGGGGAGGGGGGCAUCAGAGCAGCCCUGGUUCAAAGGUCACAGGCAGUAGGGUGGUUUGUUCCUGCCCUGACCCUUUUGGGCCAUCAAAUCCAAGGCCACAGCUACUGGAAAAUAGCCUUUGCCCAAAGCUGCAAUCUGAUCACUCUUUGCUUCUGAUUCACUGGGGCAAAUAUGUCACACCCCCUGGCCUCCAGCUGGUGGAUCCAGCCCUUAGUGGAUCCAGCCCUUAGACUUUCCUCCCUGGGGAAUUUCAUGACUGUUUAUGAAAUUGUGUAUUUGUUAUUUACUUUUUAAGACAGGCCUUUAAGUUAUAAUAAGUACUCUUCAUUAUGAAUGGAAGCUCUACUUAGACGGAAGAUCAGUAGAUUGUUGGUUGUAGUUUCUGAGAUGGGGCAAGAACCACAAUGUUGGCUUUGAACCCUCCUUCACGUUGGCUAAAUCUACUCAAAGCGGAAAGCCACACGAGGGGCCCAGCUCCCGCCUGGAGCAUCCUGAGUCUCCAGCACCCCAGGGGGCUUUGAAAAAUGAGCAGCCAUCUCUUCUUUCCAUACUUUGACCCAUUUGUUUUGCUAUUGAUCUGGCUCCUUAAUGCUCCCAUCUGCAUGGUGAUGUUUGCUGGGUCAUCAGAAAGUGCCUCCGUUGUUCCAGAAAUCAAAGUUAGCCUUGAGAAGGGGAGAGGGAAGGGGGGAAGAUGGUAUCUAUUUUGAAUGAAGAAAUUCAUUUCCUGAUCCACAAAUGUUUGCUACAUAUCAUUUACCUCAAGGGAUUUGCUGUGACUCACAUCUGAGGAGUAUUUGAAAUGUAAAUAGCGUGACUACUUGCUCUCUCCAAGUGCCAGAGACAUAUUUUUUUUAAAGUGCUGGCAUUUUGCGAAUGUUGCAUCCGUAGCUUGCGGAAUGGCAAAAGAAGUCGGUUCUUAAUUGCAACAAUUGCUUAGCAGUCGUACACAUGCCAGGGAGCAGAAAAUCAAAAGCUGCAGAUUUUAUUUUGGAUUGCAACCCCUUUUGUCCACCUCCUGUUCACAUUCAUAGGUGUGCAUCACCCGCCACACCAGCGGCUCUCCUAGGAGCGGACUUAGGUGCUCCAGUGCCUCUUGCAUCUUGUGCCAGGUUCUCAAAUUCUGCUAAGUGAAACUUGCUUUCACCUUUCUGCCCUGUGAGGUGAAUGCCCCAAACCAGAGGAGCAGGAGGAGACAUCUUCCAUCUACUUCAUAGCCUGCUGGGGGGGGGGGUGUCUUGAGGGAGAUCUUGGGUGGGAGUGAAGUUCAGCUACAUAGAGUAAGAUGGUUGCCUGUGACCAGUAAACCAUCCAUGCAAAUGGUGACUGUGUUGGGUGCCUCUUCUUCUCCCAUCUGGAUGUGUAUUGCUGUGUGAAUGGUGUGUGCCUGUACCCUCAGACUUCACCUGCCUAUCAUCUGCACAUGUGGUGUCAUCUGUGCAGGCAAAAUGGCUGUCUCAGAUGUAAACACCUCAGCAUGGCUUAUAACUUCAGAUGGAAGCUGGUUUGAGGGAAAGUGUAUCAAACAGGAGUAUUUAUCAAAAAAGACCAAAACCCACCCCCAUGGAUUCUGGUUAGCAUCAUGUGUACUCGGAUUCAAACACAGGAGUGCUCUGGAGCCAAAGGAAAGAGUAAUGUGUACACAGUCUUUUGUGACGGCUCCUUUGCAGCUGUGUCACAGUUUUGGAUUUUUGCCAUUCACAGCCAAGGUAGCUGGAUUUCCAACUCUGUCCUGGGUUAAUGCUGCCCUCCAGGCCUCUCCAUUUGGCCCUCAGAACACAAGCCGGGCCACACGCCUCACUGGCCCUGCUUUGCACCCUCCUUGAGUGCUUUUACCUGACUGGAAUGGUGUUUGUGACUUUUGAUAGCUCUCCUGGAGGGAGGCUAGAGAGAGGUCUCUGUGUGAGUGUGUGUAGAAACUAGGCUCUUGUACAAAGGUAAGAUUUACAUUUGAUGCUCCACCCACUUUCCCUUCUGACUCCUCCCACCCCUGGCUUAUAGCUAUUGGAAAGUUGCCCAGAAGCUGGAAAAAGGUUCCCCACGCCUGCCUUAAAGCAUGAAACUAUUUUUCCUGGAAAUUUGGCAGGCUGAGAACAGAGGGGUCCCCUUUCAAGUCUCCGAUGCAAUCUGCUUAGGAGAGAGGCAGCCCAGUGGCUGGUGUUAACGUUCGUUAACUGCUCCCGAAAUUACUAAUGCUUCAUGUUGCUUUAAUCCAUUCCGCUGUAAUAGCUUUAUUAGAUUAAACAGCCUGUCGAGCAAGCAAGGAACAGUGGGAUUAUCAGGCUUCUUUCUGAAGAGCCAGCAAAGACCAAAUUCAAAAUAGCCACCUCAAGCCAAGCCUCUUUGCUGGUGUUCAGCUCCUUCUGAACCCCCACUCCCCAGAAAAGGUGGAGCUGCAGAUAGAAACUGGGUAUUCCUGUUAGUCCUCACUAGGAAAAAAAAACCCUUUCAAUCAGCCUGGAGUCAACCCCUGAGGCAAGGAAAGCAGGCCCUGCCAUCAUAGUCAAAAGUUCUUUCCAGACCCCCCUCCCUUUUGUGUUGUGGUAAUUGUAUUGUGCCCACUGCAGGGGCACAGAGAUGGAGACAUACAAAGUGUGUGUGUGUGUAGUUUGUACUUUGAAUAAUAUGCCCCUGGUGAGCCGGGGACCAUCUUUUAUCGAGUAUCUCCCAGAGUGCGGAGUCUUAAUGACAGAUUUAUUUUAACACAAAUCUAAUUAGCUAUUUGAAGUAUUUUGUCAAGACUCAAGAGGUUCCUGAUGACUACGCAAGCACACGCACACGCUCUCCCUCACUCAAUGGGCGGCCCUACCGGCUUCUCGUAAAAACACAGUUCCUUCACAGCAUUCUCAAAACCCUCGUCUGCUGCAGCAAUUUGAAUUUUGUUAUUAGUGGCUGCUGGAAAUCCUAAUUCAAUAAAGGGUAAUGCAUUUUAAAUGCAUUACCCCAUGCUGAGUAUGCAUUAGGUAAUAUGGGCAACUUUGGAGGCACAGAAAACCAGCUAUGAAUAUUCAGAGCUGCACAGAAAAUUGGAGCAGCUCUCAGUAUCUGCAGCAUCUUCUCCUUUAAAUAUAUAUUUAAAUAGAGAGAUGCCUUUAAAGAGGAUAUGGCGAUCAAUGCUUAUGAUGGACAUAUAUGCCCCUGAAUGCCAGUUGCUUCUCCUGUUUGUUGGCCUCUGGUUGGAGAGGGCAGGACUCUCCUUGUGCAGGGCUCAAAGGUGUGUUUUUCUUCUUCUUUUUAAGUCUAGCUAGGAGACCAGACAAGCAUUUGUUUGCAGCCACAGUUAACGCAAUGUAAAUAUAUUUACAUUUCCCCCAAGAAUAUAAAAAUAGUAAUCACGGCUAGAGAUAAUGAAGAUGUGCUUGAUCGAAGCAACAACAGCUAUCUCCACAUUUAAAUAGAAGCCCUUGUUUACUCCAGGGCUGUCCUCUGUUGCUGAUCUCCAAGAAGCUGCUGGACAUCUCUUUUUCCUUUUCUCUGUUUAUGGAGGUGAUGUCACUGCCCUGCCAGGGGGAGAGCUGGCUUCUCCUGGCCUGAGACUUUCACUUGUUGCAAUCCUUGACAUAGCCCCGUGUUCAAAAUGAUGCUAUCUCCCAACAAAAUCUUGCCAGAGGCUUCUCUUUGCUCUCUCGACCUAGUUUUGUCCAUCGUAGGUAGUUUGUUUUUUUGUCUUUAAAUGCAUUUUAAACAUUUAUUUUAUUUCCUUUACAUGCCCCAUCUUUCUCUCAUCUUGGAGCUCAAGGCAGAGUCUGAAGGGGAGACAUUUUUAUCCUAGAAUCAAUGGAGACUGAGUAUUUGCUUUUUCUAUAUAGUCCACACACAAUGUAGAUCCAUGGAUGUUUUUGCCCCUCAAAAGUGAUUCAUGAGAAAAUGGUUUCAUUCUGAAAACAAAAUCUCGUUGAGGAUUGAUUCUGCAUUGCCCCACAUAGUAGUGGGUCCCAGUGAUGCAGAGGGGGCGGGGUGUGUGUGUCCACAUUUGCACAAUGAACUUGUGGGUGAGAGUAUGCCAAGAUUGGAAGCACCAUGUAUGUCCUUCUUCCUUCCCCUGGAGCUGUGCAGGGAGGAGAAAACAUGGAUAACCUAAUCAAGUAACCAUACCCACCCUUGUGGGCAGCAGGAUCUGUCUUGAUUGAAAGCAGCAUGUUGAGGAACAAACAUGAAUGAUUCCGAAUUGAUUUUUGUCCUACAAGUAGAUUAGUUUGUACACAGCGUCUCCCUUUCACACAUUGGCUGGAUCCAUAUCAGCUAAGCUUUAGAAAGAUGGCUAAGGGCUUAUCCACACUUACCUUUCCUCUGCUCUGUCUGAGUGACCUUUUUUUGGUUUUGCUCCAGAGAUUUCCCUGUGAAAACACAGAAAAUGGCAGUUUGCAGAAAACCUGAACUGACAUUUGUUCCUAUUGAGCGGAUGAGCCCCCAGUCCUUUGCCCCAAGUCCAGUCCUUUGCCCCCAGACCAAUUCACUUGGUGCCCUUGCUUGGGUAGGGGCUAUUUUUCUCUACCAGAGCUUGCUCCAUCUUUGAACAGUCACAAUGCUUCCUUCUGACCAGCCUCAGUGUCCUCUUAUAUACUAUUGUAUGUUUUACUAUGUAUCUUAAUUAUGGGCAGGUGUGAUUUUUAAAAUCUGGUUUAAUAUUUCUUAUUUUGGGGUUGGCUUUUAUUUGUGAACCUAUUCUGUAUGCCAUUUUCUAGCAGUACAGUGGUUUAUUAUUAUUAUUAUUUAAAAGUUUGAGCACCCUCCCAUACCCAGUGAAAUCAGUAAAUACCUGCUGUUCCCAGAUGUGCAGUUACUUGAGCUUAGAAAUGUCUGCAGGCAAAGCUAGAACAAAAAGCAAAAUCAAAUCAAUUCUAGCAAGUCCACACACCUUUACAGAAUACUUUCUGCCUCCAUUAAGGCUUUUGGUGUUAUUGUUUUAAACUGUUAUCUUAUCCUAGAGUGGACCCAUCAUCUCUGCAUUUUAUUGCUCUGAACCUUUUCCCUCCCAUGUUGUUCUCCUUCACUUCCACCCACAACAUACACUGACCAUAGUUUGUAUUCUGGUAAAGUGCAGAUUUUUCAGACUAGCAAAUAACUCCCACUUUGCUUUAGCCCCCCAGUGCUGCUUUCUCAGCAGGUUUCCUAAAGUUAGGUUGCCCCCUGCUGCUAUGGCUCCAUUAGAAGAUAAAGCUGGAUAUAAAAUCUGUUUUGAAACCUGCCAUUAUGCACAUGUAAACCCCUCCCCCCAGCACCAGCACCCCUGGAACCAAAUUGUUUCAGAGCAGGUUGGAAUCUAGUAAUAAAUAGCUCGGAUGGUGCUUUGGUGUGACAUGAUUAUUAUUAUUAUUUUUUAAAAAGCAAGAAAUGCAAAUGUUAAACGAUUCCUUUUGUUUUCUAGAAAAGACAAUAUUUAUUGGAAAACACGCUUCUGAGUUCCUAUUGAUUGAAAUGAGAGUGCUGUAAAAGGUGUCUGUGGCCUACACAGGAU
rnacentral:lncRNA from 1 species